rnacentral:lncRNA from 1 species
GAAAAUAUGUCCAAUGGCAACAAGUAAAUAUCAUGAUCCAUUCAUCAAUACAUGAUGCGUAUGCUUUAUCAUGGCAACCAAGUAUACUAUGAUGCAACAAGUAGACUAUCAAGUAUACUACAUGUCUCAACACUAUGCUAUAAGCAUGUCAAAGUACAUCCAACUACUAUACCUAUCUAGUAGUGAUUAUCAAUCCCCGGUUCAAUGUCAUUGUUUAAUCAUAUUUUGGGACCUACAUAUUUGUAGUCCAGCUUGUGCCGCCUAAGUGUCGGUGGUAGUUCCAGCAUUCCCACUCUAGGAAUGAGUCUAUCCCUCCCGACCCCGUAGGUUUCUCGAUACCGCACAUGCGAGUAUAAGUCGCGUAGGCUAACUCCGGAGUGCCAGCUUGUAGGGAGCGACCCUCACAAGCAUGUGCGAAUGAGCACAAAUGGCAAGCAAGCAUAGUCAAUGUCUCAGGUACUCAAUCCUCAUGUCUCUAACAUGGUCAAGCCACUAGUAUCCCGAAGAUCUAGUUCAAUGUUUCAAAUUGAAGUUCCAACAUACGCUAAGUUUAGUGCCUCUUUAUGACACUUAAACAUUGUUAUAUUCCAAACAUAUUUCACAUUCUAUGCCUCUUUAUGGCACUAAUUCGAGGUUCACUCAUGACCUGAGCUCAAUGCCGCUUUAUGGCAUUAGCUCCAUGAUUCACAUAAUAUUCUAGUCCGGUGCCUCUUUAUGGCAUUUUAGCUAUCUUUCAUGUCUUAAUUAAACAUAGGUUUAAAUGCACGAAUCAAAGCUCAUUUUCACUCUAAGGAACAUGGUCCAAUAUAAGAAUGCUAAACUCAAACAUAAGCUUCACAUGCAACUCUCUACUACAUAGAGGUCCAAAAAUGCAUUAUAUGUAAUAUAGGCAUUUUAAGCAUUCUUAAAUUUAUAAUAAAUACAUUUAGCAUGAAUAUGCAUGAUUUUUCAAUUUACGGUACUCAAAUUAUCACAAAUGAGAAUUUCUCAUUGUGUGGCUAGGUCAAACCCACCAAAAUCGAACCCUUCGUUUCGCUGAACGGAGGUGCCCACUAGCCUCCUAGUACCCUAGAAGCAUCAAAAACAGGGUUACCCAAACGAAACGAGCAACGAAUUGCUCUAACAUUAACCAUCUCAAGCCAAGGUUGAGGAAAACUCACCCCAAGUGAAGAACCCUCUCUUAAUCUCCAAAUGGGAGUAAGAGUCCUUCCAAACCAACCUACGCAAAGGUUCUAAACCCAUCAAUUGGGUCCCAAAGCCCUCAAAUCAAAAAUCCUCAAAAUAAAUCCUAAAUCCCAAAAUCUAGGGUUUUUACCAACAAAAGCUUCAAAACUAGAAUCUAGAGGAAGGAAAUCAUCAACUAACCUCUAGGAUGCUCCAAUCCAAGCUCAAAAUCCUCUAGAGUUGAAGAUUGGUCCACCACCAAGCUCUAAACGCAAGCUCCAAGCCUCCAAAGGGUGAGAAAGAGAGAAGGGUUGAAGCUUCAAGGCCUCCAAGCUGCAUCUCCUUCUUCUCUUCUUCUUCUUCUCCUCCUCCUUCUUCUUCUUCUUUUUCUCUUUCUAGAGGUAUGAGAGAGUGAGAAGUGAGGGAGAAAGAAAGGGGAAAGGCCCUCUUAAGCCUCUAAUGUAACAAAAUCUAGAUAAGUCCAUCAAGAAAGCAAUUCUGCACACUGCCCCAGCCUGGGCAGUUUCGCACUGGGGGGGCCGGUCUCCCCGACCCCAGGGACCGGUCUCCCAGUCAAAACUCGAAAAACCAACGUACGGGAACCGGUCCCUCCAGCCCAGGGACCAGUCCCUCCGGACCUUCCCGCAAAAAUCCAGAUAAGUCCCUCAAGAAAGCAAUUCUGCACACUGCCCCAGCAUGGGCAGUUUCGCACUGGGGGGACCGAUCUCCCCGACCCCAGGGACCGGUCUCCCAGUCAAAACCCGAAAAACCAACGUACGAGAACCGGUCCCUCCAGCCCGGGGACCGGUCCCUCCGGACCUUCCCGCAAAAAGGACCUACGGGAAUCGGUCUCCCCACCCGGGGACCGGUUGCAUUGCCAUGGGGGACCGAUCUCCCCAGCCAGGGACCGGUCCCCGAGAGUGAAAACUCUCAGGUCAGUCCAGAGCUCGGAUUUUCGAACUUUUAGGUUGGAAUACCAUCUACAAUCUUCCACUAAGUGUGGAAAAAGCUCGGAACCCAAGUCAAACACUUGGACCUCGCAAAUUGCACAGGUCCAGUGUGUUACACAACGAUCAGUUGCCGGAGGCUGAGGGGAAGGCGAUGCGCCCCGCAGUGUGCGACGACAGCGCGCGGUGGCCGCGUUGGCUCAACCUCGACCCCCACCAAUCCUGGGCGGUCGCAGGAUGCACGAACGGCGGCCGACGGCGAGCUGGGACAACAGGGAGGUGCGCCGGAGAUCGCCAGGGGCCGAAGGAAGUCUGGGCAGCCGAUCUCGGGCUGUCCCAACCAGCGGUUCAUGAGCUGGAGUCAUCUCUACCUGGGCUGACCAAGGAUGGUCGCAGCUUGCACCGGCGCGGUGACGGCGGCUCCGGUGGCGCGCGGUGACGGCGGGGGCCGGCAAGGGUGGUGCCGGAGUGUUCAAGGAGGACGAUGCUCACGAUCCUGAGCGACGGCGUCACGAGGAGAAAGUGAUCUCUUGAACUUGGCCAGACACGAUCCAGUUUGGCCGCGGCUUGCCAAGACGACGGCGGCGGCGCUCGGGGGGUGGCCGGGACCGGCUAAAGAUGAUGCCGGAGGUGAGUCACGGCCGAGGGGUGACAGAUCCAACGGUUCGGAGGCUUCUCAUGGUUCCACGGCCAAGAAUGAGGCAAUAUGGAGGGGGAGAGAGAGAAGAGGGAAGUCGGGGACAGUUUUCCGGCCGCUGGAGCAGCCUGCCGGGGGCCGAGGCACACACACGGGUUGAGCAGGAAGAAGCUGAGGCAGCUAGGAGGACUAGGGUUAGCUGGGUGCGACUAGGGUUAAGAUUCCAUGGAUGACAUCCUAAUUCCAAUAUAUAUAUAUGCAUACGAACAAUUACAGAGAAGUCCACCCCUAUCUACUAUUUUUAGCUGGGUCCCUGUCCAUACAUGUAAUAUACACCUAGGCCCUUCGACGUUCGAAAUCCUGCGAAACGGCACAGAAAAUAUGGGACCUUUCGCAAAUUUUCCGAUUGUGCCAAAUUGACCUCUCAGCGAUCAUUUCGCAAUUCCCGAAGAUCUGUCCGUCGAAUUUUCGAACGGAUCACGCUAGAGCGUUCAGCACGGCUGGGACAUCGAAUCUAGCAUCUUGUUUCAUCCGAUAUGGUCUCUGAUUCAUGACGGAACCACCCCUCUUUUUUCCACCACAUAACCACCUAUAUUAAUAUAUGUGAAAUCAAUCAAACCACCCAUUUUUCUCGACAACCGAGCAUCAGAACCCAAUUCCGUCAGUGCCAUUGGGUUCAGAAUAGUUGAGCCGUUCGAAACGAGCUAUUGGAGUCCUAUGUUCAGAGUCCAAUACGCACCAGAACCCUUCUCUACUCACUGGCUCAUCCGAAAAGCCGAAGUUACUAUUCACUUUAAGUCAUCGGUUCUGGUCACGUAACUUCUCCAUCUUAUCUCAUUUUCUCUUGAAACUUGACGAGUGCUUAUGUAAUUAAAUUACACACAAAAAUAUUGUCAACAAAGAGCUUAGCUGCACUGUCAAAAUCUCAGUCCUUACAUGAAUUGGGUUCAGAAUAGUCGAGCCGUUCGAAACGAGCUAUUGUAGUCCUAUGUUCGGAGUCCAAUACGCACCAGAACCCUUCUCUACUCACUGGCUCAUCCGAAAAGCCGGAGUUACUAUUCACUUUAAGUCAUCGGUCCUGGUCGCAUAACUUUUCCAUAUUAACUCAUUUUCUCCUGAAACUUGACGAGUGCUUAUGUAAUUAAAUUACACAGAAAAACAUCGUCAACAGAGAGCUUAGCUGCACUGCCAAAAUCUCAGUCCUUACAAGGUACGUUUUGAAAAUAUAAUUUGACUUAAAUCCCUUCUGAAAUAUAAAUUUAAAAUUUAUUUGCGUUUAUGAUGAAUUUAAUUUAAGAUAGGUUGCUUUUUUUUAUGUGUACAGGAGAUAGGAUUUGGUAAUUACUUAUUAGUGUAUGCCUGAAAUAAUUGGGUAUGAUCUCUAAAUAGAAUCAAGAUAUUAUUUUUUUAAUGCUUAAUUUGAAACAACAUUUAUAAUUAUUUUAACUUUUUGUUUCCAAAUAUUUUUUGUUGCUAAAUUAUUGAUGAAAAAUUUACAGUGUUGUUAAUCCAGGGAUCAUUUUCUUUGAAAGAUAUACCAAUGAAUGGGCCUUCCAAGAUCAAUUGGUGAGGAGUUUUCAGUGAGAGAAUUAAUUUCAGAAAAGCCCCAAGCAUACUUCUAUUUCUUUUCUUCUUUGCAUAUCUUAUUUUUAAUGUUUACAUUAUGUUUCAGUUUUGGUAGUAUUUUUUAUCUAAUUUUGAAGUAAUAUAUGUAUGUUUUGAUUGUGAAGAGUAUAAGAAGUAAUGCAUUUGAGCAGUUGCCCUUUCAAAUAAUGAUAAUAUUGUUAAAUGAUUAGUUCAAAUAUAAAGAGAAAUAGUGCUUCUUUGUGAAACACCUUUUUUUUACAAAAUUAAAUCAUCUUGACAUAGUUUAGUGAUUUAUGCAUCGACUAAAGGGAGUACAAGAAUUAUUUUAUGUAUUUGAGAGAUUGUCUUUGGGAAAGCAAAAUACUGUGUGGUGAUUAGUUUAGGGACAAGAAUAAAAACUUCUUCUUUCGGAAGCACCAUAUAAAUAAAGGUAAACUUCUAAUAUAGAGGUGUAGCUUAUCUUAUUAGAAACCUAUGCUAUACUAGUAUAGAACCCGCGCUUCGCUGCGGUUAACAUUUAUAUACUCUGAAUAAUUUAAAAUUUUUUUAAAAUUUCACCACGACCCCUGCAAAAGUCAUUUUUUUAAAAUUUUUUUAAUUUGUUUUUUUAGGGUAUAUGAGAUGUUCACAGUAAUCACUCUAAGAUUCCUCAACAGCGAGAUGAGGUUGAGGCGAACGACCCCCGCUGAUGCUCAAAUGCCUCGAUGUAUUAUGUUUUUAAUUUUUUUAAUUUAUUUGUUUUAAUUAUAGGGAAUGGGUUUAGGGACGAUCGGAGGGGGGUUAGAGUUUGGGGAGUGAGCGGGCUUGCAGGAUCGCGAUCGGCGGCUAGGGCUCCGGCGAUCCACGGGGGCGGCGUCGUCGGCGGCCUCAGGGGUGGCGUCGUCUGCGACCGCGGGGGCGGGAUCGGGAAGAGGGGGCCAUGGCCGUCACGGGGAUCUCCGCCGGUGGCAAAGGAGAGACGAAGGGGCCGAGGGAGAGGGCGCCCCAGGCGAGGAGGGAAGCGGGGGCGGAGUGGGAGUAGCGGAGGAGCUAGGCGGAGAGGAGGUUAUUGCCUCUCCCCCCCUUCCUCUCCUCCUUCUCCUCCUCCGCCGCCGCCGCCUCCGCCCUCUUCGUCGAGCCCAAGCUCCGGCCCCUUCCCCUCUCCCCCCUUCCCGCCUCGCCCAGCCUCGCCUACCUCAUCUCCGGCUUUUCCGGCGACGGCGGUGCGCUCCUCUACCACCCCCGCAACCGCUACGUCGUCCACCUCGACCUCGACUCCCCCGCCGCCAAGCGCGACGAGCUCCGCGACCGCCUCGCGCGCCACCCUGUCCUCGCCGCCGGCCGCAACGUCAAGAUGAUCUUCAAGGCCAACCUCGUCACCUACCGCGGCCCCACCAUGGUCGCCAACACCCUCCACGCCGCAAUCGUGUUGCUCCGCGACACCCCCGAUUGGGACUGGUUCAUCAAUCUCAGCGUCAUUUUAGGCUAAGAUAGAGAGGAGAGAGGGGAGGGAGAGAGAGAGAGAAAGAUGGGGGGCCUGAGAGAAAAGAGAGGGGCCCACCUUAAGAGAGAGAGAGAGAGAGAGAGAGAGAUGAGGGAGGGGUUAUCUGUAGAAGGCAAAGAGAGUGCUAGUUGGCAAUAUCUUGGUCCAAGUCCAACCUUGGGAAGGAGCCAGGAAUAUUCAAGAAUAUCUUGGAAACAGAAAAAAAAAUUUUGGGAAGGAACAAGGAGCUGUCUUGGUCCAAGCUGAUCUGCCAUUAGAAAGGAGCAAAGAAGCUAAAAGAAGAAAUUCCAGAAAAGACAAAUGUGACGUGGAGGCAUAAAAUUUUGCCACGUCACCUAUCACAACCAUCAAAUUAUGUAUUUGUAUGGAUACUUAUGUUUCACACCGUUGAAUGAUUGACAUGCUGAUUAGCCUUUUGACAAAUGCUUAGAUAUAUUUGAUCCCUUAUUUAUGUAGGUUGUAUUAGAUCAUAUGUUUCCAUUCAUGCAACUGAUUAUGUUUUGAUAUGCACUCAUAUCUACUCUUUCCUCAAAUGGACAAAUAUCUGAUGCUAAUCAUAUAUGAUGAAAUGAAACAAGUAAAUUCAAUAUUGAUCCCUAAGCUAUCAUAAGCUAUCUAUAAUUAUUUAUGUAACAUAUAUAGUGCAUUGUACCUUCUAAAUUUUUAUACUCUUUUUUAAAAAAAUAUAUAGCGCAACUUGGUAGGCAAUGAAAGUUUUAUUUGUUAGAGUAUUCCAAAAUGUAUAGUACAAUUUAGCCCCCAAACUUUAAUGCCAUUUUUUCUUCAAAAAUUCGUUUGUUAAGAUAUUAAUAUAAAAAAAAGAACAUACCCAAGGUGAAGUCGAGCCAGAUUAGUUUUUUUAUCGCAUUCUCUUUGAAUUCUUCUUUUCUUUACUCCCUAAUUUGCGAAAAAUUUCAAUUUAGGUGCAUGUAGGGUUUUUAUAGUAUUCUAAUUUGAUUUGGAAGUACUGGAUGUGAGUAUUUAAAUAUUCGAUUGUGAUACUUCUAUAUAUUCUGUUAUUGAUGCUAAACCAUAUUUGUUGCAAUUCGGCCUCCUAAAUGGAACACUUACUCUGAAGUUGAACUAUAACGUAUCGAAACCCCGAUAGCGAUUAUCGAACUUUAGCCAAAAUGAAUUAAAGUGCCGAGAGAAAUGGAUCGACAAGUUCCCUUUAGCAUUCCAGCAAGGUUGGAAGGGCUAAAAAUGAGUUUAGGAGGUGUUAGAAAGGUUUUAGUAUCGAUCGGCGCGAAAUAGAAUCGAAACGAUGCAAAACUGCAGUUCUGGGCAAAGUGUACCGAUACAACCAUCAAGGUGUACCGGUACAACAUUGCAGACCGAGAGGAGGAGCUCUCGAGUUUGAGAAAAAUUGGAAGCGUACCGGUACAUUUUGAAAAUGUACCGGUACAAAUGCUACGAAACUGAGAAUCUUGCUCUCGGGUUGCCUCUGCGCAGAAAAUGUACCGAUACAAAAAUCCGUGUACCGGUACACUUUGGUCUGGCAGCAACAUUGAAGACUGUUACAAAAUAGAAGAAAUGGAGGGCUUUGUUGUAAUUAUUACAACAUGUUAAUACCCCAAACACCCCUCCCUCUCUCUUUUCACAGCCAAACCCCUCCCUCUCUCAUUCCUCUCUUUCUCUCUCUAGAACUCUUGCUCUAGGGCAAGGAGAAGGUGGAGAAAAGCUUGGAGAGGUGGAUUUUGAAGGUUUUGGUAGUUCUAAAAGCUCUCCUACAAGAAGGAGCUUAGUAGAGCUUAGACAAAGGUGAGUUCUCUUGCAAAUAGAACUCUAGGGUUUGGUUUUAAACCUUAAAGUUUGGAGUUUCGAUCCUCUAAUGAGCUUAGAAACCCUCUAGAGCCUAGAACAUCAUGAAAACCAUGGUUUUCUUGAGGUGCUCUCAUGGUGAACACUUAGGGUUUAAAGUAGAUGCCCUAGGAAUGGUUCAAAUGGCUUAGUGAUGGCAUUAGAAUGCUUCCUAGUUGAUUCUAAGCUAUCAUUUGCUUAGGAAUGAGAUCAAUCUAGAAGAAAAUCCUAUAUGGCAUUGUUAAGGCAUGGAUUUUGGGGCUUUUGCCCUAGGUCGUUUUCAAGGUAAAUUGAUCUCUUGGAAACCUAAUUGGGGAUCAAACGAACAUGUUGGUGCACUUGGUUCGGUGAUCCGACGAGCCUAAGUAGUGAUAUUGGGUAAAAAGCCUAAUUUGGCUUUGUUAUGCCUCAAGUGAGAGAAUAGGACUUCAAAAAUUUCAAGAAAUUCACCGUAGCAUCCUUUCAACCAUCUAAGGUGGGUGGUGCUUUCCAAAGACGUUGAAUCUCCUUUUAUGUCUAAAGUGUCAUUUUUUAGCAUAAGUUGUAUAUUUAGCAUUUUGCAUGAUAGGGUUAAUUGAAAGCUUAUAAUUGCAUGUUGUGAGUACAAAUGCAUGAGAAAUGAUUGUUGGAACUUGUAUAACCCUAUGUAUGCAUGAGUACAAGAACCUAGAAAGGGAAUAGAACAAAAUGACAUUAUGACAUAUUGAUUGUGUGAUAUUUCUAAAUGCAAUGGAUACUAGAAAUAGACUCGUAGUAGAGUAGCAUUAGUGGAUGCAUUGAACACUUAGAGGACAAGUGUGACAUAAGUAAACAAGAACAAAGAACAAUGUAGUGUAUAUGACACUAGUAAAGGUUAGAGAAUGCAAGUAAAAAGAGAUAGUGACAUUGUGACAUGAAAACCUUAAAGUUAAGGGUCACGUGAGCAUUGGAAUCCUUAAAGAUAAGGAUUGAUCGUACUUGCCUAUGGUCUUGGCUUGAGGGAGGUCGCUCCCCCUCGGGCGAUGAGCUCCAGAGUUGUCAUCACUGGGAUGUGGAACCCCCAAAGGACGGUCCUAGCGGGAGGAGGCUUAGGGCCCGCGAUUAUAGACUUGGGUUGGUGAGUUAUGAAAUCCGGCGGGAUGAGGCUUUGGGCCCGACGGGUUAGCCACAAGAUUGAAUAGAGUAAAGCAAACUUGCAUUCAUCAUGAGCAUUUCAUUGAGCAUAUGAUUGACUAUAUAUAUCGUUCAGGCAUAUUAGCUGCAUUUGUUAGUUGGUUACUAUCUAUUCUUUCUUCUAUUAUGCCUGAUUUAGACCUAGUAGGAAAGUCGGCGUGGUUGGUUGCCGAAACCACUGGAAACUUGGUUGUAGUUCUCACCCCACUAUUUUCCACAGAGCUGGGACGAGCGAGCCGGCAGACGACCGCAGUAAGGGCAUCGCGCCCUAGAUGGAGACCACCCGAGAUGGUUUCAUAUUUUGUAGUUGCAUUCCCUUUACUAUCAUCUUUUGUACUUUGAUGAUUUUUAGUAUUAUGAACAUGUUAAAUGAAUGAUGUAAAAGAGUAGAUAUUUAAUGAAAAUGGUCAUAUUUUGGAGAACUUGAGAUGUAAAAAGAAAUGAUGCAAAGGAUGUAAAGAAUCUAAAUAUUUUAAAGAUAAAUGAUGCAAAGGAUGUAAAGAAUCUAAAUAUUUUAAAGAUGUAUGCGUGUAUAUGAUUUAAAGUUAAUCAUAGUACUUGUAUGGAGAGUAGAUAGUACUUUCACUUUGGCUACUGCUUGCCCUCGUGCAAGCCAUUAUGUAUGCUUCCGUAGGUGCAAAAUUUUACUCUAUUGAUACUUGUUAUUGAGCCUUUGGCGGACGGGGGAGGCUAUGUCCGUUCGGCGUCUGUUCGACGGGUCCGAACCGGACAAAUUGGAUCGGGUUCGGGGCGUGACAUGAACCUUAACUUUUGACCAUAUUUGUUUCAUUGAUGGUUGAUCGUGAAGCUAUAACUCUACCCUUGAUGACGAGAUGUUUGCGGAUUCCAAAGUUUUGUUCGUGGGGAAAAUGUAAUGUCGUUACUCUUUUUUCCUAAUUGAUCACUUGCUAUCGUUGACCGGGAGUAUCGAGGUACCUAUAAGAUUAGAAACCUAAUAAAAAUUGAGUAUGAUUCACUUUCUACCUUCUAUUAAUUUGAUUGUAUUUAGUGUAUCAUAUUAUUUCUUACUGCAUAUCUUUACGGGUUUGCUUGAUAAGUGGGAUUUUGAUAGAGUGCUUGAAACACAUGUUACAUAGAUUGUAUUCUUAUACUUUAUUCAUCAGCUCAUCUGAUCAAUAUAGUGCAUUUUUCUUCUGUAUCUAAACUCUGUUGUUUUUUGAACAAUUUGAUCACUAGCAACUCUCUUUCUCUUAGCGAACCAUUCUUUCUCAUAAUUGUUUAUUCUGAUUCUCUUUCUAAGCUAUAUUUUCAAACAAUUGUAGCCAGUUAGUUUCUCUCUCUCUUUCAGGGUUCUCUCAGUAUCACGGCCUUCGACCUAUUGUAGAAUUCAUGACAUCUAACGUCUUCACGUAGAUAUAUGGCUUUGUUUUGUAUAUGUAGUUUAAAAUAUAUAGUGCUAAUUUAUUAAACUUACUAAACUCAAGUUCACUAUAUAGGGGAUAGAGCUAUGUAUUUGACUGGUUGUAGAUCAGUUGAUUACAAAUUGGCUUUUAGUUCUUCGUUCAAAAUUAAGUAUAUAAUGUAGCUGUGUACAUUUAAUUGUGUUAGUUCUUUAUCUAUAUAUGAAUAAAUUAUAUGAAAAAAUUUAUACAACCUCUAGAUUUUACAAUCUAUAUCUUAUUUUUCUAUCAAGAGGACUUAUUGAGAAUGAGACAAUUAUGUAUCAGAAAAGAAGAUAAUUAUAGUGAAAAUAAGGAAAGAAAAACAAACAAAGAAGAAUAUGGUAAUUGUAACAUAUUGAAACCCCGAAACGAUAGUCGAACUUUGACCAAAUUAGUUAAAGUGUCGAGAGAAAGCGAUGGACAAGUUCCAUUUAGCAUUUCAAUAAUGAUGGAAGGGCUAAAAAUGAAUUUAGAAAGGCUUAGAAAGGUUUUAGCAUCGACCGGCGCGAAAUAGAGUCGAAACGGAGCUAAAACAGCAUUUCUGGGCAAAGUGUACCGGUACAACCAUUGGGCUGUACCGGUACAACCAUCAAGCCAAGAGAGGGUCAGCUCUCGGGUUCGAGUGUUCGUGGAAAUGUACCGGUACACCCCUGGUUUGUACCGGUACACUUUAAUAGAACCCGAGGAGGCUGCUCUCGGGUUUGCCUUGCGCAGGAUUUGUACCGGUACAAAAUUCUCGUAUACCGGUACACUUUGGUCUGGCAGCACCUAUGAGGUUUGUUGCAAAUAAUGCUUUUUGGGGGGCUUUGUUGUAAUUGUUACAACAUGUUAUAACCCUAACCCCUCUCCCCUUCACAGCCAAAGCUCCUAAACACCUCUCUCUUAUUUUUCUCUCUUUCUUCCUCUAGAAAGCUUGGUCUAGGGCAAGGAGAAGGUGGAGAAGAAGCUUUGAGAGGAGAUUUCGGUUGGUUUUGGAGGCUUUGGUGGCUCUCCAACAAGGUGGACUUGGGUGAGCUCGUGGCUAAGGUGAGUUUGUUGCACAAGUGAGUCUAGGGUUUGGUUUUAAACCUUGGGAUUUAGAGUUUUGAUCCUCUAAUUAAUCUAGAAACCCUCUAAUGGCCAUGACUCCAUGGGAAACAUGGUGUUCUUGAACCCCUCUCAUGGUGGAUCACUAGGGCUCAAAGUGGAUGCCCUAGGGAUGGUUUUAAAAGCUUAGAAACCUCAUUAGAAAGCUUCCUAGUGGAUUCUAAGCUAUCUUUUGCUUAGCAAUGAGAUCAAUCUAAGAGGAAACCCUAGAAUGACAUUGUUAGGGCUAAAUUUGGGUCUUUUGCCCUAGAUUUUUUUCGAGACAAAUUGACCUCUUAGAAACCUAAUUGGGGGUGUUCCCGACGCGGUGGGAAACUCCGUUUUACGAAACGAAAAUGUUUAAGUAUAGUUUAUGUACAAUGGGCCUAAUUUGGCUCUAUUUUGGGAUUGUAGGUCGCGGAGCGGCGAUCGGUUGAGCGGGGAAAGUAUCGAGAUCGUAUUCUCACACCUCACAAGGUGGGGGGUGCAUGCCGGAAUCAUCGAAUUCCCUAUUAUGUCUAUUUUCACCUUUUGAGCAUACUAUGUGUAGAAUAUCCAUGCAUGAUAGGGUAGUUGAUAAUGAUACAUUGGUUGAACCUCAAUACUUUGAUUCUAACGUAGUUGAAUCUAGUGAUUGAAAUGGAACCAUUCGAGAUAUUUGCAAGGUAACCCUACAUGUGUGAAUGUGAGACUUGGACCGUGAUCUUAGUAAAUAAAUGUGACAUUGACAAUAGAGACAUAAUUAGCAUCAUGAGAUGAGCCGUUAAACAUCGUUUAACUAUAAUGGCAUUGUGAUAUGAAUAGCUCGGAAAGUGGCAUGAACAAUUAGGUAGAAACCUAUUGUGAUAAUAGCAUUGUGAUUGGCGGCUCAAGUCGAGGAUCGGAUCGAUACUCACGAUAUGUCUUGGCUCGAGGGCGGUAGCUCCCCCUCAGGCGGUGCGCUCCGGUGUUGGUCACCACUGGGCGUGGUAAAGUCCCCCCAGAGGACGGUCCCAAGGGAGGUUCGAGUCCCCCGUUAUUAAGGGAUUUGGGUUGUGAGUUAUUGGGGUUAACAAGGUUAACCGGUAAAAUUAGGUAAAAGCCAUGGUAAGGUAAGAUAAAGAUUAAGCAUGCAUGUAUAUUUACUGCUUUAAUAUCAUUGAUAUAUCCACUGACUUCUUUCCUGCAGGCAUAGUAUUAGUUGCAUUAGUAAUUGUUACUUUCCUUUCAUUGAAAUACUUAUGCCUGGGUAGACCUAGUGGGUAAGUCGGCGAGGUCGGUUGCCGAACCCACUGGGAACUUCGUUUUAGUUCUCAUUACCAUUAACCCUAUAGGUCCUAGUGCGAGCGGGGCGGCGGAGGACCGAGGCAAGGGUAUAGCGCCAUAGCUAGUAGCCACCGAGACUUCUUUAUUUUUGUAGUCAUUCCAUUUUGGGUAUACUUGUAUCAACUUUUAUUUUGUUGAUUUAGAAAGUUGUAAAAGUUAUAACAAUCAUAAAAUUUUGGUGGAUGACUAAAUGUAAAGAAUUAUGAACGAAAGCAAGGAAAUGAAUAGCUUAGCUUAUUUUUAUUUAGUGCAAAUAGCAAUCAAGUAUAAUGUAUCUUGUUCAUGAUAGAUUAGAGCUUUCGCUUCCGUUGUUGCUUGCCCUCGCGCAAGCCCUGUAUAAUUGCUAAUCUCAUUGCUUGAUUACCUUAUUAUACAUGUUGUUAGAGCCUUGGGCGGACAGAGGAGGCUCUGUCUGUUCGGCGUCUGUUGACGUGACCCGAACCCGACCAAAUUGGCGGGGAUUGGGGCGUGACAGAAAUUGAGGUUGCUUUGCACAUGAACCUGAAUAAAAGCUUUCAAAGAAUUAGACAACAAGGGCUGCUUCGUGUUUACAACUAAUUGUGAUGAGAUUAAGAAUCAUUCAUGACGAGUUAAAAAAAAAAGUAAGAACAAUGUAAUCCAAAGUUUCAGCUGGUAACUUUUCACAAUAAAAAAUAAAUUCAUUGUGAGGCCAAAUUCAUGAGAUUAAGAAUCAUUCAUGAGACAACAAUGAUAUGCAAAGGUUGUCGUUGCAGAGAGAAACAGAUGCAAUGGAAAGCAGUUAAUAGAAACUAAUAGCUUACAAAUAGUUGAGUAAAAGCAGACCUUUAAUUUGACUUUCUUAACUAAGACGAAAACAUAAUAUAGAAGAUAAGAAAAUAUAACUUCAAAAAAGAGAAACUUCUUAGGAUGUUUCUCAUCUUCUUGCAACGAUUAACCAUAUUUAUCAGGUUCUUCUUUAAUUUGGAUUUGAUGCUUUAUUUGUUUACUUAGAUUUUUCUACCGUAUAGUAUAUUUUAAAUUACGUGAGAUUCGACUCUUCCAAUUUAAGGUAAAUUUUUUUUAGAAUUACUGUAUUUUUUUAAUAUUUAUUUUUAUUAUUUUGGUUACUAUGUUAUAAAUUUUUAUAUUUAUUUUUGUUUACAAAUCAUAUUGUCUCCAUUAUAUAAUAAUUUAAUUGUAAUGAGAAUUUUAAUGGAUUUUAUUUAUAUCAUGGUUUAGAAUUUUUUAAAUGAUUAAUUAUUAUGCAGACUAAUGCCAUACUUAGCGAAAUCUAAUGGAUAUGUUGGAAUUUAUUUGCUAACUAUAUUUUCUGUUUGUUGCCAUAUGGUGUGUCCACAUUGGCGGGUUUUAAUUUAACCCGAUCCACUUAGGAUGUGGGUUAGGACUUAUCCUAAUAGGUUUAGGAUAAUAAUAAUAAAUUAUAUGUUUCUUAUCAGUUAAGAAACAUAUCUACUAGAGGAUAUCUAUCAUAUCCUAGUUCUUAUCCUAAUCUCUUUGUGAGAUUCAGGAUAUUUAGGGGUUCCGUUAUUCUAUAUAUACGCCCCCGUUUUCUCCCGUAGAAGAGACGAUUGAAUACGAUCUAAUUCGAGAAUCCACAAAAAUCUUCCUUCUUCUCUCUCCUCUUCCUCUCUGGGAUUUCCACCUACGUUCCCGGGGUUUGGGAUUUCCACCUACGUUCCCGGGGUUUUAGAGCGUGGACAUAGGAGAGGACUCUGGUAGCCCUCUCCGAUUGGCAUCCGUGACGUAAGGCGAUCCGUUCCGUGACGUAAGGCGUACGCGUGGAAGAAGACGAGAAACGUGAGAGAUCCAGAAGCAUCGAGACAAGGACGAUCCAAGAAGGCUUGUAAAACAAGCAACCCGAUCCGAUUACGGUUCCCGGAUACGUUGGCUAUCCGGUUUGUAAGUUUCCGCUGCCUAUUAUAUCCAACACUGUUGUUUCUGAUUAAACCUACACGUCACUACUUAUAUAAUAAGACAUUUAUAUAAAGUUCUCGGAAAUAGAUGUGGUUCAAUACCUAUCGUGAUGCUUCGGUGUUAAAAAAUAGAAUCUUCAAAAAAAAAAAAAUAUUUUUCAUACUUUUCAAUAUAUUUUAAAAUUACUAAAACUUUUAAAGUAAAUAUGUUCUACUCGUUGCAAAAUAACUUAUAGAAAUAUAAGAUCUAAAAUUUAGGAUUUAAAUUUUAAAAGAUUGUAAUAUAUCUACCCGCCGCAUCGCGCGGGUCACUACACUAGUUUGACAUUAAACUCAAAUCAAAUCCAAAAGGUUACCCGGUCAACUUGACUAGGUUGACUGGCUCAAAUCUGAUAAAUUGUAAAGAAGUCCUCCAAAAUAUUGUUGUGGCUCUUGCAUCCAAUUUGGUACAAUUUGAUCUUAUUUGGACCAAUUUGAACAAUUUAAUUGAAUUGUUAUCUUUGAUCAUGAUUCCGGUUCGGUUUGAGCCACUUUAAAUUCAACUACAACCUGAAAUUGCUAUGUAACAAAUUAAAUCCAAAAUUUAUUUGUUAUCAUCAAAAUUUAUUAUUGGAUAAAAUCCAACACAUAGUAGGCUUGGCAUGUGAUCUUAGGGUGCAUGAGAAUGAGCUUUGUGAUAUAGAACCCUAUAGAGAUAAGUUAAACGAUAACUUGAUCUUGCAUUGAUGGAUAUGAUGAUAUAUUACUAGAAUAGUCGAGACAUUGCAUCAUGACGAGUGGCAUACGAACCAAGUAAACAACUUGAUGAGUGGCAUUAGAACUUAGUGUUAAGAGAACACUUGUGACAUGAUGACCCUAGUGACAGGAUAUCAUCAGUGGACGAGGAUUGGAUCAAACUCACAUUGUCUGUUCAGCACUUGUGGCGGUUGCUUCGCACAAGUAGUGUGCUUCGGAGUUUGGCAUGUGAAUCGAUUAGGAUAGCCUAUGUGGGGUCCCAAGGGAUAGUCUAUAUGGGGUCCUGCAGACGGUCCCUUGGGUGGUUCGAGUCCCCCGUUAUAGAGGGAUUUUGAGAUGUGAGUCGAGGGCGCGCCUACGGGCCAGCCAGAGAAUUGGGUAAUAAACUCAUGAGAAUUAUGUCAAUUGAGCAUAUUGAAAUUCUUCCGACGGAACGCAUUGAGCAUAUUGAACCCUAUAGGGUACGUUUUUCUGCGAAAUCCGUCGACGGAACGCGUUUUCGGUUCGAAAUUCUUCCGACGGUGCCUCGUGAUAAAUUGUUAUGUCGCUGAGCCUUGUUUGCUGGUCUCCCGCGUCGUUUCGAGGGUCUGGAAACGACGGGUGAGCGACGGUAGAUUCCUGUGUAGAAUUGGACACUUCCGGGAACCCUGAUCGGAACGAUUAUUCAACAAUAAUCCUUUCGAUGUGAGGCGGUGUGUUUGCUGAUUCGUAUCGAGGGUUCGGAAAUGACGGGUGAGCGACGGUAGGUGUCGAAUAGGACACUUUCGGGAACCCGGAUCGGAACGAUUAUCCGACGAUAAUUGUUUCGAAAUGUGGUGGUGAAGUUGCUACUAAGGCACACGAAUAUAUGUGUUUAGUGGUAGCGGGUGACUCGUAGCAUGAGUGGGUGAGUUCUGGGAUAGUUCGUGGGUCUCAAUGGAGUCUCGGUGCGGUUUUGGGAAACCGAUUCUCGUAGGUUUAUUAGUGGGGUUUGUGAGUUAGUGAUUCGUGUUGUAGGUUGGAUGCUAACCCGAUGGACCCUUCGUAGGUCCAGUUGUUACUUCCUUUGCAGUUGGAAGGACAGUACUGUAUUUGUUCAGGUGGGUACUUCGACCCGAAGUCGGUACAGUGAUGCACGCUCGAUGACAUUCCCUUCACUCUUUCCUUAUUGUUUAUCUUGCAUUAUAUAUAUUGAGCCUAGCACCUAUACCAUAUCUUGUUAUUGCUCUACUUAGUUGGUUUGCAUACUGUAACGGUUGAGCCCACUAGCAAUAAAAACUCGUUAGGCCCAACCACCGGCCCAAAAUGCUUAAGCCUAGUUAUUGUUACUAGUGUCUAAGUUUCUUAUAAACUCAAUGACAACUCCUUUCCCAUCCGAUGUGUGACUAUUGGGGUGUCACAGACAAUCCCCGUUAAGGCCCUGACGUCCUCGUCAGUCCAAUCACACAUAGCCCAAGAUCACCAGGCGAUGUGAGACUCGUCUCGCUAGCCUGUCAUCCAGACCCUAGCUCAGCCGAGACUCACCACACAUUUCCGGCUGGUGAACCAACUCUGAUACCAAAUGUAACGACCCAGCCCACUAGCAACAAUAACUCACUAGGCCCAACCACCGGCCCAAAAUGCUUAAGCCCGGUUAUUAUUACUAGUGUCUAAGUAUCUUAUAAACCCAAUGACAACCCUUUUUCCAUCCGAUGUGGGACUAUUGGGGUGUCACAGAAUACUCAGUAUCAUGUUUCAGAAGUAGAACGGUUUUUGCGAUUGCUUGUGAGAUCCGUGAGCUAGUUGGUCAGUUCUGGUAUCUAGUAUUGUGACCUAUUCGCUCGAUUCACUGCAUCUAUUAUUGUGAUUUAUUUAGUCGGUUGAACCACUUGAUGACCUAUACGAUCAGUAUACCCUGAGAAGUUGCAUUGUCGGCUAGUUGCCGAUGUUUGGUUAUGACCUAGUCGGUCAGUUCGUUGCAUCUGGUAUUCUAACCUACUUGGUCGAUUCUUGUAUCUCGUACUAGUGACCUAUUCGGUCGACAUAUUGCAUAUGUUAUUGUGAUCUACUUAGUUGGUUGGACUACUUGGUGACCUAGGUGAUUAGUACACCCUGAGGGGUUAGAUUGUCGGCUAGUUGCCGAUGUUUGGCUAUUGAGCAUACCAUCAUCGAUUGCGACUGCUCGUACGCAUUUCACGAACACCAGCGGUUUGAUCCACCGCAAGAAGGUAUUCUUUUCCGAAAAAAGUGGUUGGGAGUGCUAGCUCGUGAGCCCAAGAGGGGUUAUAUGCUUUUAUACCCAAGAGUUUAUGCUGGGGUCAUGUACAGAUUAGAGCAAGUGUGGCACGGGCCUGAGGUGUUGCGAACCAAUAUGGCUAUUUUAGAUUGGGUAUUUGGACUUGUCGUCCAGUUGAUGCAUACAUGCAGUAGCGGUAGUUGUUCAUUAUAUCUCUUGUUUGUUUAUCAUCGUUGCUACUGUAUUACACUUACCCAUACCUUUAUUAUUCUUCUUGACUGGUGAGUACCCCUCGCCCUCGUUGACUUGUGGUACCCACUAAGAAGGAAGACAUGUGUACAUGUUCUCACCCCCCACCCUCAUUACUNUCGAAUCGCUCGUUUAGUAAACGAGCCGAAUAUAAGUUGAAUUUUUCAGCUCAUUUAAUAAACAAGCCAAACACGAGCAAGGGUCAGCUCGCUCGUGUUCGGCUCGAUAACAGCUCGAUUAUAUUUAUUUUAUAUUAAUAUAAUAUUAUAUAUAUUAUAUAUUAUAUAUAUAAUUAUAUUUGUAUUAUAAAUAUAUAUAUAAUACAGAUUAUUAAUUUUAAAUUUUUAGUCCAAUUUUUUAAAAAAAUUUAGCUUAUUUAUAAAAAAGGCCCAUAAGCCCAUUUAUAUAUAGAAGUUUUUAUUUUCAUUCAUGGCCCAUAGAUCUAUAAAUAAGUACCAAUAUUUUUAUUUUUUUAAGUCCCAACCCUAAUUAGUAAUCCCAUCUUUUUCACACUGCCCCACACACAGCCGCACACACAGGUGACACAGCCACACACAUAUGACACACAUAACUCUCUCUCUUUUUUUCUCUCAGGCUCGCACAAGCACCGCACACGACCGUCUCCCUCUUUCUCUAUCUUAGGCUCGAAGAUCACGGCGAGGCACGCGCGGUUGGGGACGAUCUCCAUCUCAAUCUCGCGAAUCAACUUCAGGACCUCGGAGCGGUGCGCGUCCUCGGCGGUCGGGGGCCGAGGUCGAGCGCCAGCACUCGCGCCGUGCAAGGUCGACGAGGUCGCGUACGUCCUCGGCCACGGCGAACUUGGCGGUUGGGAGGAUGUCGAGGAGCGAAGAAUCACUGUCGAGGGUGUGCCCACGAGCUCGAGCUAACGAGCCGAACACGAGCCGUCUCGAUUAAGUUUCGAGCUGAUCACGAGCCAGAGUUUUCGAGCUCAUCACAAGCUCGAGCCGAACACGAUCCGACCUUGAAGAUGACGAGCCGAGCUCAAGCUGGCUCCAGCUCGCUCGAGCUCAGCUCGUUUACAGCCCUACCCAUUAUAGGUGACGUCGCAGGUCCUAGUGGGACAGUUCGUGAGAAGCGUACUUAGCGGUUCGGUUGAGCUUACAGACCCGUCCAUUAGUUUAAACUCUAAACUCAGUUUCUUUAAAUAAACAACUUAGACUGCAUUUAUGGUUCAGUAUUUUAUGUGAAUUGAAUAUUUGGGCUUUCGUGAAUGUAAUAAAAAAUUUGUGAUUUCUUGUGAAAUAAAAAUAGUUUUCUAUCCCUUAUAGUAGCGAGUUUUAAAAGAAAAAGGUUUCUAUGUGGUAAAAAAAUUUUAAAACGGUUUUCUUGAUUUUCGUGAUUUAGUGUUUUAAAACGAGUUUCCGGAUAUGAAACAUUUUAAACUAAUAGUUGUGGAUUUAUGAAUAACUUUAGUUGUGGAUGUGAUUGUAAAUGGUGUAUGAUUAUGUGUAUAUGCAUAUGUGUGGUUGUAUCCUGUAUGAUAAAUCUUGUAUCUUGUACUUGUGCUACGUCCUGCAAAUACAAGGAAGAUUCUAUCCGUGUGAACAGUGGACUCUCUGUAUUUGUAGCGGAUCUGACAAUACCCUAGGGGUCAGGAUUUUCAAAAAAAAAAAAUUUGGACACUGCCGCAAUUGGAUUUUAAUCCAAAAUAGGACCCCGGAGCGUGACAUAUUAAAAUGUAGCAUUAUAAGUUCCAUUCCAAAUACAAACCAAAUGACUUAAAAUUAUGCAGAGGUCGAAAACAUUAAAAACGAACAACACAACACAACGUAACUCAACACAACACAACGCAACGCAACGCAGCGUAUUGCGAAGAAUCAAUCAGAGUCGUCCGAAACUUCAUUCGGGAAAUCGAAGCCGUCCACCUCACCGUCGAGGUACUUACUCCUCGUCGUCCUCGUCGAAGUCCUCGCCAUCGAACUCGUCAUCUACGUCGUCGUCGUCGUCGAAUGAACAGUAAAUUAAAAAAAAUAGAUUGAAUAUAUAUAAAAAAUAAAUAUAUAAAAAUUUAUUUAUUAGACUUAAUCUAAUAUUUGAAACUUUACAUAUAAAUGAGUUUUUUUUAUAAUUGAGCUCGUCUUUAUAUUUUUAUUUUACUAAAAAUUAAAUAAUAAAAAUAUAUAUUANAGAGAGAGAGAGAAACGCAGAGCCCCCGCACUUGUUUGAUCGAUCUACCACACCCUCGCACCUCCUUCAUUAGCCCUCACCUGUCAAAACCGCCCUUUAGCUACCCAAGCGCGGUUAAGCGGCCACCACCGAACGCCCAUCCCGCCGUUAGGUCGAGGGAAAACCGCUCGGGCAAGCAAAAGCCGAGCUUUACUCUAGCUCUAGCUUAGCGAGUAAAUUAUUUGCUCGGCUUGUGCUCGACUCUAGAUUAGAGUCGAGCACAAGCCGAGCUAUUGUCUAGCUCGCUAAACUAAAGCUCGAGUAAAUCUGGGCUCGUACUUGACCGAGCGUUUGUAGCUCAACCUAACGGUAGGGAUCACGAUUCACUAUUUGCUGUACUCGUUAAGAAACUAAAAAAAAAAUUAAAAUUUAAAAAAUAAAAAAGCCCUAUUUCGGUAGGGAAACCUACCCCCAAACCGUAACCGGGGAUGGGCAAGUAAAAUUUAGUUUAUUUUCAGUUUAACCCUUAAGAACACGUCAAAGGCGGGGUGGCGUUUCUUUUUAUUUGUUUUAGAUUUAUAACUGCUCUCCAGUUCAUAUCUUAAAACUUUUAAUAACACUUGUGUUCGCUCUUAACGAUUUCACACUUCCUCCAAAAAUACAUAAAAUCGAAGAGGAAUUAUGGAGAGAUAGAGGAGAGUGUAAUGCCUCGGACUCGUUCUCGACCUUGACUCCUCUCUCUCUCCCCUGUCUCUGCUGAUGCCCUAGCCUCCUUCGCUCCGCCGGAGAUCCGCCUUCCCCGUCAGAUCGCCUCACCAAUCUCGCUUCUCCCGCCUUGCUGCAGCUCCUUUCCUCCUUAACUGGUAAAAACUACUACUUUUACUAUUUCUCUCAUACUUGUUAGCUAUACUACUAACUGCUUGUUGUUAAGGUCGUUACAGAGAGAGAGAGAGAUGGAGGGCUUCAGCGGCUUCUUCGUCGACGAGAAAGCGGUUCGCGUCGAGAACAUCUUCCUCGAGUUCCUCAAGAGGUUCCUUCUUCUAGGGUUUCUUCGCCCCUCUCCUUCUAGGGUUUCUAUUCGCUCUCACCGGUUUGAUUCGCUUUCCUCUUCUAUGAAAGGUUCAAGCUUGAUCCGAAUGCGACGGAGCCCCUCUACGAGGCCGAGAUCGAGGCGAUGCGGUCCAAGGAAUCCACCACCAUGUACGUGGACUUCUCCCACGUGAUGCGGUUCAAUGAUGUUCUUCAGAAGGCCAUCUCCGAAGAGUACCUCCGGUAAAUUACUCUGCUAAUUUGAUUCCCCCUUUCGCAACUUCCGUUUCGGAAUCGAGUAAAAGUUAUCAGCUUGUUGUGCUGUUUCAUUAGAUUUGAGCCCUAUUUGAGGAAUGCGUGUAAGAGAUUUGUGAUGGAGCAGAAAUCGGGACCGUCCAUAAUCCCCGACGAUAGCCCUAACAAGGACAUCAAUGUCGCCUUCUACAAUAUUCCGCUGCUGAAGAGGUAAAGAAACCGCCCUAAAUGUUUUGAAUGGUUUUCAACAGAUCGACUUUUCAUAUGUAAUUUAUUUGGGAAUUUGGAGUAUUUUAGAUUAAGAGACCUCAAGACCUCGGAGAUCGGGAAGUUGACGUCGGUGAUGGGGGUUGUUACGCGAACUAGCGAAGUUCGUCCCGAGCUCCUUCAGGGGAACUUCAAGUGCCUCGAGUGUGGGAACGUUGCGAAGAAUGUGGAGCAGCAGUUUAAGUAUACGGAAGUAGGCGGCCAAAAUUUUCCUUGACAAUUUAUUUAUUUGUUUAAUUAUUUAAUUUUGUCAGAUCAUUUCACAUCGCCACAAAAGUUUAGCACUUGAUAUCGAUAGUAAUUUUAUGAUUCUCUGCAGCCUAUCAUCUGCACGAACGCGACAUGUCAGAACCGAGCUAAGUGGGCUCUUCUCCGGCAAGAGAGCAAGUUCACAGAUUGGCAGAGGAUGCGGAUGCAGGAGACUUCAAAGGAAAUUCCUGCCGGGUCUCUUCCUCGGUCGUUGGAUGUCAUUCUGCGACAUGAGAUGGUUGAGAAGGCGAGGGCUGGGGACACGUAAGAAUAACUGAUUCCUAUGUCUGUCGUGUAAUUCGAGCUCCAUUUCUGGCCUACUUGGCCUGAUUAGAACUGCCGUAGAAUGUGCUGUUUGAGCGCUUGUUCGGAUAAGCACUACUUUUUGGUUAAAGUCUCUACCUUUCCAAACUAGAGCUGCUGGGGAUACAUAAGAAUCACCGGAUCCUAGUUUAGGGUUGUUCUAUGUCACUAGCCUAUUUCUGACCUGUUUGGCCUGAUUGAGCUGCUGUAAAAGAGCUGCAUGCUUACAAGUGUGUGCAAGUGUGCAGAUAAACUCUAGACUUUUGUUUGUCGUAUGCCUGGCUUUUGCCGCCUUCCCAUUAGAAGAGUUGUUCCAGGAGCUACAUCAAACCGGCGUGUAGUCACUUCUUCUAAUGCCUCCAAUUUCAUUUUUUAUGUAGGGUCAUCUUCACAGGCAUGGUGGUUGCUGUACCAGAUGUGAUGGCAUUAACUUCUCCUGGAGAAAGGGCAGAGGUUCGGCGGGAAGCUUCUCAGCGUCGGAAUGGAGGUAGCGGUCAUGAAGGUGUAAGGGGUUUGAAAUCUUUGGGAGUAAGAGAUCUCUCGUAUCGCAUUGCUUUCAUAGCAAACUCAGUGCAGGUUUGAAGAAUUUGGACUAAUUUGAGCUGCGAUUUCAAAUUGAAAAGUUUUCACGACAUCACUCUUAUUUACUGCUGUUUUUUCUUGAAUUUCUGCAUUUUUUAUAUCUAGGUGACAGAUGGGAGGAGAGAUGGCGACCUUAGGGACCGGAAAUUGGAUGGUGAUGACACAGACAGACAAGAAUUCACUGUAUGUUUUGAUUUUGAUAACCAUUUAUAAUACAUUUUCUAUGAGGUUGUUAUGAAUUGUGGGCUUAAGAUAUGGCAUGGAUAAAUUAUUGCAGAAAUACAUCAGAAUUAUAUAACUGCUUUGUGAUCAUUUUAUCAAAUAUCCAAAUGUUCUUUGGUGUACUUGUUAUUUAUCUUUGCAUUAACCUUUAUAGACAGAGUAAAUGUGAGCCAUUUCAUUAUAACAUUUGACUAACAAGCAUUUUUUUUGUAUUAAGAUUUUACUCCACACUUCUCCAUAUGUGGCCCUUGUGGUUACAUUUGUCAAGCACAUGCAUGAAAGUUAAUAUUUUAGCAGGCUAUUAAAAAUUUUAAAAAAAUCUAACUACACUGCAUUUCUUGUCAGCAAGAAGAGGAAGAGGAGGUUUUCAGGAUGAGAGACACUCCUGAUUUUUUCAAUAAGCUUGUUGAUAGCAUAUGCCCUACUGUUUUCGGUCAUCAAGAAAUUAAAAGAGCAGUCCUCCUUAUGCUAUUGGGUGGUGUUCACAAGAUUACACAUGAAGGAACUAACCUCAGAGGUGAUAUUAAUGUGUGUAUUGUUGGAGAUCCCAGUUGUGCAAAAUCCCAAUUCCUGAAGUACGUUUCCUUUUGACCUUAAUUCAUCAUGCUUGUUGCUUUUUCUCGUCAAUGUCAGAAGUUGAUAUGAUGUUUGCUUUCUCAUAAAAUCGGAAAUAUGUAGUAGAUCAUAAUUCUUAUUAAUGAAGUGUUCUAUCCUUUUGCAAAUGUUGUCAAGCACAUUAUCCUUAUCUUGGUUCUGAUUAUUGUUUGUCAGAUAUGUUGCCGGUCUUGUUCCACGGUCUGUUUAUACGUCAGGAAAAUCCUCAUCGGCUGCUGGUUUGACAGCAACAGUUGCUAAAGAGCCAGAAACAGGGGAGUUUUGUAUUGAGGUAGUAUUGUUUGCUAUUGAUUUCUUCGUCUUCUUUUCUUUUGACACCUCUCUCUCUCCUAAACUCCAACAGAGCAGUAGAAAACUGAAGUCAUGUGCAGUGUUCAAUUUUACAUGGUUAAGAAUGUGGUUUAUUACAUUUCAACUAUACCUGAAUAAUGGAGGAGUUAAUAGAUUUUUUUCAGUUUUAUGUCCAAUCAGCAUAUACCUUAACACUUCUUGUGAAACUUAUUUGGUUGGGUUUUUGUGUUUACUGUUUGCUGUGAAUGCUGGUUCUUGAUAAUCAUACUGUCAUAUUUUGCUUAUAAUUUAUUCAACAAAAUCCAACUUCUAAUUUCUAUCUAAAUGGAAAGGAAAGCUUAAAAUUUGAUAGCUGUUGAACUAGUGCAGAGAUCAUUGCAUUACAUUGUCUUUUAUUUCAAGCUUUUCCUUUUUAAAUGAUUGAUUAUUAUGCCACUGAUAUACUUUUGCUUCAUGCAGGCUGGCGCACUUAUGCUGGCUGAUAAUGGUAUCUGUUGCAUUGACGAAUUUGACAAGAUGGACAUUAGGGAUCAGGUAUAUCUUUUGUUAUUUUACUAGUGUUUGAAAACUUAACAUAGGAUUUAUUUUUCUUUCAAGUUGACCUGUGGAUUUCUUACUUGAUCUGUCGAUGUUAAGGUUGCCAUACAUGAAGCAAUGGAACAACAGACCAUUAGCAUAACAAAAGCUGGCAUACAAGCAACUCUAAAUGCUAGAACUGCUAUCUUAGCUGCAGCAAAUCCUACAGGAGGACGCUAUGACAAGACCAAACCCCUCAAAGUAAGCCUCCAUAAACUGCAAUCGUCAGCUUCUGCUUCCGUGGUCAAAAACUUUAAUAUUUAACUUUUUCACGAGCUAUUUGUGUAAAGCUUUGUUGACUGAGAUAAUGCUUGAUUGUGAUGUUCAUCUGUUUCUUCUGUACCAGUACAAUGUGGCCCUUCCUCCUGCUAUUCUUUCAAGGUUUGAUCUGGUGUACAUCAUGAUCGAUGAGCCUGAUGAUAACACUGAUUAUCAUAUUGCUCACCACAUUGUGAGGGUUCAUCAGAAGCGCGAAGAUGCACUUGCCCCUCCAUUUACCACAGCAGAGUUGAAGCGAUAUUUUGCUUAUGCCAAGUCUCUUAAGCCUCAGGUUUUCUUACUUCUUUAAGAUCUUUUCCCUUAAUUUUUCAAAAUGAUUGUUGUCUUAACUUGUAUGUUAUUUCUAAUGCAGCUGAGCUCUGAAGCUAGAAAAGUGUUGGUUGAAUCAUACGUGGCACUUCGCAGAGGUGACACUACUCCUGGCACUAGAGUUGCUUAUAGAAUGACAGUCAGGCAGCUGGAAGCAUUAAUCAGGCUGUCUGAAGCCAUUGCAAGGAGUCAUUUGUAUAAAGUUGUAAGUGCCACUCACCAAUGACUUCUUCAUUAUUUAUAUUUUUACUUGUCUUUAGUAAAUCAGGUUAACCAUAUUUGGUCAUGUCAUGAAUUUUUUGCAGAAAUUAAGUUUACUGUAUGUUCUUAAAUUUUUUGCAGGUGCUUCCGGCACAUGUUCGAAUGGCUGUAAGGCUGCUAAAAACAUCUAUAAUCAGGCAAGCAUCUUUACUAUUUGUCUAAUGACUCUGUGCAUAUCUUGGACAAAAGAUUUUAUGUAUUUAUUGCAUGUGUAGUGUUGAGUCGAGCGAGAUAGACCUCUCUGACUUUCAAGAUAAUGAAGAUGCUGGUGGAAAUAGAGUUGCUGACCAAGAAAUUGCAGCUCCAACUGAAAAUGCUCAUCCAGCACCAGAAAAUGAAGGUGGCUGGCUGUGUUUGCUGUAGUUAAAAACUGCCAUCUUGUUAUUCUCUUUGUUCAAUUGCCCGAAACAUCUUAUUUAUUCCUCCCCUCCCUUCUUGAAAUGUCGGGCCGCGGUUUUUUUUCUCGAGGGACCUGAAAACGCCUACGUAUAAUCUUUUACAGGUGAUGCUCAAGGGAGUGAGGGCCAGCAGAAGAAAAAAAUGGUUAUAACUGAAGAACAUUUCCAGAGAGUUACUCAAGCAUUGGUCAUGCGCCUGCGACAGCAUGAAGAGACUGUUAUGCAAGAUGGUAUUAGUCCGAUUUUUGCAGUAUAUAUUUUUCAUACUUUUAGCAAAUCUUACAUUUAGUUCUGCAUCUGUAAUAGCUCCUGUGACUCACAUUGAAUGAAUGAAUGCAUUUAUAAUAAUCGCUUUAGGAUGCUAGUCCUACAUACGCGUGGACUAUGAUAGGCCCGUAAUCACUUCAUUAAUUAUGAAAAGUUUUGCAUGGAUUACCUCAUUAAGUAUGCCUAUCCUAUAUCACCUUUUCAUUAUAAUUGGCUCCCUUCCGACCUAGAAGUAGUACUAGAUCUAGUGUCUCAUGCUAACUGCAUUCAGUUGCUUUUGUCCUUCAGAAAACUGGCUGUAGCAUUAGGGCACAAAUUACCAUCUGUACCUACUACAAUGGGGCAAGCUAUUUCAUUUUAUAUGAAUCUUUCUGUAACUAGUACUUGAAAUAGUAUAGCUAAUAAGCUAUUUCAGAUUUUUAAGAUGAGUCUUAUAGAAAUUACGCUAGGACAGGAAAUCCCGCCUGAAUUUUCACUGAUAUAAGCUUUGGGAAUUCUUAUCAUUUAGGAAUCCUACCAAGAUACCCUAAUACUUCAAUAUGAGAUUGUACAGGAUUUAGGAUAAGUACAAAGCAGAUUCAGUUCUGAAUGUCUUAAUCAUUCCUAAGUUACUUUUGUUCUGGAAAUUUCGCAUGUUGUGCUAAUUUAUUGAUUUUUUAUUUUUUUAUUUUUGGGUAUUUGCAUUGUCAGAAUUAGUAACACCAUUUUAUAGAUCGUGUCAAGUUCGUCCCUUCUUAUGCAUCUUCCCUGAAUUCCCUUAGUCCGUAACGUUAUUAUGCAAUUUAUGUAGGAAGUGGAUUGGCUGGCAUGAAGCAAGGGGACUUGAUUGUUUGGUAUGUUGAGAAACAGAAUGCUCAAGGUGCAUACAGUUCCACCGAUGAGGUGCGAGAAGAAGUUAAAUGCAUCAAGGCUGUCAUAGAGGUAAACAUACUAGUGCAUAUAGUAGACAGUAAUUUGUCAUAACAGCGAUGCCAUGAAAAAAGACCUUGUUAAAGCUCACUGAGAUAACGUCAAUGCAGAGGUUGAUACAGAGGGAAGGUCAUCUGAUAGUGAUAGACGACGGCUCAAGCUCAGCGGCACCUUCGGCAGAUGGAGGGGAAACAAGAAGAUCCGCGGAGAAUAGAAUCUUAGCAGUGGCUCCAAAUUAUGUUAUUGAUUAACACAUCAAGUUAACAAAGAACUAACCUAUUCAAUUGACAUGGAGAAACUAUCAGAUUGUGCCACCAAUUGUUCCGGACAUCAGGUUUCGUUGAAGUGUGACAACACAUACGGACUCUAUGAAAGUUUCACAGUUCAGCAGCCCUGCUUAGAAGAGGAUUAAAGUAGGCUUUAGUUUGGGACUUGCGAAGAGGAUUUUCAUUUCCUAAUGUUAUUUGCUAUCCUAAGUUGCAAUACAUUCUUCAGGAUAUAAGAUAUACUCUUGCUUCCGCAUGGCAAAUCUAUCAGUCGCCCUGUUAAAGUUUGAUAUAAGCUGGCAACAACAUUUUCCUCUUUUCUUAGACUUUGCCCAUUUGAUUCUGUAUGAAAUAUGUCCUAUUGAGAGGGUUGUACUGUGUUAAAAGGUUGACUACUCCGUAACUGAUUUCCUUUUCUGGUUGUAUUACAUUUUGUUGCUGUAAAUCGCAACAGUUUUCAGCCGUCAGCAGGAAGCGGCCUUCUCUUAGUCGUCUAACACAGUUCAGUUGGUCAGCACUUUUUCCCCAAUUGCAGAGCUAUUAUUUUCAUUAGCAAGACAAGAAGAUAAUGAAUGGAUCAUGUACUUGUACUUUUGCAGCACAAUGGCCUGGGUGCUUCUUUCGCUUAGCCUUUGAAGCGAUUUUUUUUUAAACUUUUUCAGUUUAUUAUUCUGCAAUACAUUCUAGAUGUAAAUCCUAAUAUAUCUUUAUUAUCAAUCACUCAACCAAAACCUGCCAGGCUUCACUUCCCUCACGUUACAAUUGGGUCCCACCCCCAGCCGGCAUGCAAAGAAGAAAGAUGUACGCAUCACAAUAACGCUACUCGAUCGAAAGUCUAAAUUUAAUUCGCGGGUGAAGAACAUGGCCACCACAUUUGUCUAAACUUUUUUUUUUUUUUUUCGCUUAUUUGAUUCUAGAAAUGAUCUUUUGAUGAUGCAAUUCGAUUACUCAAGAGUAUGGUUUGAUUAUUUUUUCACCUACAGCUUUUGGGAAAAGAUUGUUAUGAUAUAGAUAUCGCCUUGGACAACAUGUUGGGCCGAGAUUUCUGUGAAAAAGUCAAGGAGUACCUCAAAUUUGUAGGCCAAGAACAACAAGGAAUUGGUGUUAUAAAGUGAUAUGCCAUCUUUCUCUUGCUGUUAUUUUUGAUCUGAAUGAUUAUGCACGUCAUAAUGUAUCUGUUAUCGUGUACUUGCUAUAUGAAAUAUACAUAUUUUUCUAUAUUAAGAAAUCAAUAAACCUGAUACGUUUUGAAUAAUGGGUGUUGAUUUAUAUUAGUGAUGCAGUGUUGCAGCCGGUGGCACUACAACAAAUAAGAUUUGUUCCAGCAGUUUUUUAGCCAGCAGUUAAGCUAACUGCUGCUAAAACUAUAUUAUACCAGUAUUUUUUAUUUUUCUGUAACAUUUAGUAACCCGCUGAUAUAGUAGUAAAAAUUUUUAAUUGUAUAAAUAAAAAUGUUUGAAAAGCCAUUGAUCUCUGUAUGAAUAUACUAAUUAAUUCCAUCUCUCUCUCUCCCCCUUUCCUUUUUUUUUUUUUUGGGAAAACUUCAAAAACCCCCCUGUGGUUUCCAAACUUCUCACUUUAAUACCCUGUGGUUUAAAGUGUAUCAAUUUGCCCCCCUGUGGUUUUAUUUGUAUCUUUUCUAUAGCUUUUUUCUUAAUAUUUCGUUAAAUUAUAUGCUAAAAAACAUCAGAUAUCCAUCUAGAUUUACUGAAUAUAUUAAUUUAGUACCCUUUAAUUUUAAUUUUGUCACUGAUUUGAAAAAAAAAUAAUAAAAUUGAUAAAAAAAAGAGAAAAAAAAAUCACAGGGGGGCAAAUUGGUAUAGGCAAAUUGGUACAUUUUAAACGACAUGGUACUAAAGUGUGAGAAAGUUGGAAACCACUGUGGGUUUUUGAAGUUAUCCCUUUUUUUUUCAAAUCGGAGCUUCUCCACGCACCGCGAGCUUCGAGCUCUCUCUCUCGAUCUCUCUCCCUUUCCUUUUUUUUUUUUUUUUUUUUUUUCCACGAGCUCGAGCUCGAGCUGCUCGAGAUUGGGAUUUUCGGAGAUUUCGCACUCAAUCGCCUUCUCCGGGCGAUUUCUCACUUGGAUCUACACACGAUUCCACGAUCGGGAGUGAGUGAGCUAUUGAUUUUUCUUUCAUUUUUGGCUUUGAUUUCGCAGUGUUAGUGUAAUUUGAUCUCGAAUAGCUUCUCAAUUAAGCCGAAGUGUUCCUAAUCGGGGGUUUUAGGAGUUAAUUUUUGGAUGCGCUUGCGAUUUGUGGGAGAUAUUAUCCAGUUUUCUGACAAUGUUCGAUCAUCUACAUGCUCAUCUCUUUUAAAUUUGUUUCGAAACCGAAAUUUAGGCCUCUUUUGUGCUUCAUUAACACUGAUUGAUUAAGCUGUGCGAGAUUAUUUAGGUUUCAAGAACGUUUUUACUUGUGAAUCUCCAUUGCUCUGAUGACAUUUACCUUUCUAUAGGGAAGUGUACUAAAUCUCCAUUGCUCUGAUGACAUGUUUGCUCUGAUUAUGUUUUAGGUCCUUUGGGUUUUCUAUGGAUUCCAACAUGCUAUCAAUAAUUAUAUUCCUUGUGAUUAAAAAUAUUUUUGAAGUUGAGAGGGUUUCCUAAUUAGCUUUGCUUGUGGUGUACAUGGUUUGUGGAGUCCUUGUUUAAGCUGUUGUGCCAGUAGAGCUCUUACAUGAACUGUUAUUUUGUGUUUGUUGUCCAAUGAAUUGUCUUGUGGACAAUAUAUAUGAUAUUAGACCUAGCAUCGACAGUAAAAAAAAAAGAAGAGUAAAUAAAUAAAUAAAUAAAUAAAUAAAUAUAUAUAUAUAUAUAUAUAUAUAUAUAUAUAUAUAUAUAUAUAUAUAUAUAUAUAUAUAUAUAUAUAUAUAUANNNNNNNNNNNNNNNNNNNNNNNNNNNNNNNNNNUUUUCUUUUAUUUACUUAUUUCAUCAAAAUACGUCUUUCUCGAUGAAAAAAGGGAAAGAAAUUUGAUCAUGAUUAAGUUGAUCAAGUUUUACUUGCAUAACUAUUAUGUUUGCGGAUUUUAAUUGCAGAGUUCCUCGCAAAGAAAUGCGGUGUGUCUGCAGAAAGAGCUCGCUCGCUCCGCGUCGAGCACUUCCGCAACUACGGCAGUUCCCUCGCAGGCCUCAUUGUACUCAUCUUUCUUAAUCUCUUUCACAAUUUUAUUAAACGAAUCACGCGGAUACCCAAUCCAUUUUAUUCGAGAACUAUUCCUAGUAAUUAAGUUUGGAUUUUGAAUGAUCGAUCAAACAGGCACUCGGUUACGACGUUCAUCCAGAUGAGUAUCAUAGGUUCGAACAAGCCCCUUUUUCAUUUUUACUGUAAAACGCAGAGUGAUUUUAUGUACGUUCCACUAAAAAAAUACAACCGAACAAGAUCGAAUUACAAUAAAUUGUAUUUAAAUUUUAACUCUGUUUGUUCUAAAUUUCUAAUUUCUAUUCUAUAUAUCUCGGUUGUUGAAUUGUAGCUACGUGCACGGAAACUUACCGUACGAGCAAAUUGCACCAGAUCCACAGUUAGUAAAGUUACUGAGGAGUAUUCCUCAACCCAAAAUAGUAAGUAUUUAAUAAUAAAGGGCAAUUGCUUAUAUAUUUCUGAAAAAUUUUCGAUUUUUCGAUUUAUCCCCCUUAGAAGGCUAAUAUUGAAAAUACUCUUUCUACGUUUCAAUCUAUUUCUAACAUACUCUUAGAGUUAAAAUCUGCUAAUAAAAUCUAUUAUCUCGAUAAAAUUACUAUUUUGCCCUUUCAAAUAUAUCCUUCCACUAUUACUGUCUUUCUUAUUUGCCCUUACAGUCAGGGGCACAAAAAGUUUUUUGACUUUUGGUCUUUUCUAAUAUACCCCUCUACCAUCACUAAUAUUUCUUAUUUGUUCUUAAGUUAACGGCAAAAUUGACAUUUUAAUUUUUUUUAACUGUGGUAGAUAUUUAACUCACGUUUAACUCAAGUUAACUUAACAGGAGAAACUGCAGGGGUAUUUUGUAAUAAUGGUGAAACAUAUGAGGAGUAUUUUAGAAAAAAAAAAAAAGAGUAAAUCGGAUAUUUUCAAACGUAUGAGAGUCAUAUAGGCAAUUAUUCCUAAUAAUAAAUUGUAAAAUUUUUUAGGUUUCAAAAUAUUUGUUCUUAUUUUUCUGACAACUUGAGCGACAUGUUGGUGGCGAUUCUUGUUUCAGUUAUUUACGAAUUCAGAUCAGGCGCAUGUGCAAAAAGUGCUAAAAAGACUAGGCAUCGACGAGGACUGCUUUCAGGGGAUCGUGUGCUUCGAGACGUUGAACCGCCAUCUCUUCCAGGAGGUCAAAGGGGACGCAACUGCGGCUUCUGCAAAAGUGACUUUAAAGCCGUCGGCUGCCGCCAUAGAAGCAGCCGUCGGCUUUACUGGUUUCGAUCCCCGUCGUACUGUAAGGCAUUAUUAAACUAUUUCAUUUUUCUUUUCGAGUUUUAGGAACAUUAAUUGCGUUGAUAUUUCGUAUACCAUUAUUUCAAUAAUGUAACUUAAUUCACACGUUUUUUAUCUAAAUAAUCUAGUCGCUGGUUUUUUUUUUCUCUAAAAGGACUCUAUAUUUUUCAACAUUAAGAAAAAUAUAAUGCCGACCAUCUGAGGGGUGGUACUGAAGUUUUUAAGUUGGAAAUCUAACUACUUUAUAUUUUUAACUAAAUUUAUUUUUUAAAAAAUAAAUAAAAUAGGUAAACAUAAAAUUUAAUCUCAGUAAUUUAUAGUAAAAUAUUUUUUAUUUUACAAAUUUUAUUUUUUUGGGAUAUUAUCAGCUGUUCGUGGAUGAUAACGAGAGGAACAUCGCCGCAGGAAAAGCCGUAGGGCUUAUAACCGCACUGGUAAUGAAAUUUGGAAAUUCCACCUCCUCUUAUAUAUUAACCAAUCUCUCGCUCCCUAUUGGUUGUACAUCACAUCAAAAACAUAAAAUUUUUUUAUUAUAAAUCAAAAGGAAAAAAAAAAAUUGAAUUGUUCUAUGGUUUCUAUUUCACCAAUGAUGUUCAAUUCAUCUAAGAUGAGAAUUCGAAUUAGUUUUGAAGUUUGAAUUAGUUCCCUUCAAGGAUGGUGCAUCUCCCAAAAAAAAUAAAAUAAAAUAAAAUAAAAUAAAGAUAACACAUUUUCAAUUUGCCACUUUUUUUAUUUAAAGAGUUGUACUUAAUUAUUUUAUAAAUUUAUUUUUGUUUCAACAUGAAAAAAUAUUAUAAAAUAAAAUAGCAAGAAAAUACAUUUAUAAAUCACGAGAUGGUAAAGUGGAAUUAAUAUAUUUGUAUCGUCUGUGAUUUGAAAAAAAAAAAUAUUACUUUUUAAUGUUGUUUGAUCAUGAUCAUAGGUUCUAUGUGAAACAAAAAUAAAAUCGUAAGGUAGUGUUUAAUAUAAUUUUCUGAAACAUAUGGCGGUAAAAUAAAAAUUUCCCAAAACAAGAGGGCGCCACAAAUUGAAGUUUAGGCAAAAUUUUGCUCACAAUUUCGUCCAUAUUUCAAUUAUCACCUUGUAUUGUUGCAUACAAAAUUUAAUUUUAAUUGUACACUUUAUCAUUGUAAUAACUAUAUUAGAAAUUUGAAUGCAUUACUUAUCUUUACAUGUUUAGGUUAAUAUAUUUUAUAGAAUCCACAUAGCUACAAAUUUACUAAAAUAAGUAAUUAAUUUAAAUUUUACAUCGGAAGAGCCAUCAAAUUAUUUAAAUUAAAUAAAUUGAAAGGCUGAUAUUGCAAUCAAAAAUCACGUCUCAAAUCAAUCAAAAAGCCUCGAGUACAAACGUUUUUUUACCACAGUUUAAGAUCUUAGAAAACAACAGUUAUUUUGCACUGUAUUAACAUUAUAUCAUAUAUAAACAUACGUUCAGAUUGGAAAGAGGGCGAAGACGAAUGAAGCAGACUACUUGCUCAAUAACAUUCAUGAUCUGGGCCGAGUCGUCCCGCAAAUGGGGUUGCGGGGCGUGUUAAAGGAGGAGGAGAAGGAGAAAGAGGAAGGGGUGGAUAAGAUGAGAUCCGAGUUGGGUUCCAUUAGACCACCACCCACCCCAAUUCAGGCCUGAGUGGAUUACUAGUCACCACUUUGGCUUAAUUAACAUUUGUUAAUGUUAAUUGUUAAUCCCCACUUUGCUAAAUCUUAGGUAAAAGCGUACGUAGACCCCUCGACUAUAGCCCAUUCUGAAGUAGCCCGCUCAAUUUCGUUCUCUCAGCUUCUAAUUUUUUGAAAUUAAGAGAUUUCGGUUAAAGAAGAUAGGUAGUUGAGGAGGCUGCUUUAGAAGGGCCUAUUGUUGAAGGGGAUAUUUUUUACAUUUUUACCUAAAUCAUGUGGAUGUGGGACAAAAUAAAUUGGCUUUGGUGGUGACAGUGACACCUCUCCACUUGUGUUGUUGUUAUUAUUCUCCUUUAAUGCAUUGCUGACACUAUGACAUUUGGCUGCUUUUGUUUUGUUAUAGUCAUGUAUGAGAACAGUGAUGUGAAUAAAGCAAAUAAAAUUUGGGGCCAAUGAUGCUUUCUAUUGUGUUGAUUGGGCAUUGGAUAUGGGUGGGGGUGGUGGUGGUGUGUUAGAUCAUGCCAGAAUGGUAAGACAUUCUUAGUAGACUUCCUUCUCAUAGGUAGUACAUUUCAUGUUACUUUUAAAUGCAAAUAAAUCAUUUCUCUCGUUCAAAUUUCACAGUAAUUUUAUUUUUGGUUUCAGUUUCAUUUUAAUUUCUAGAGUUUCAGUAGUUUUUUGUUUAGAUUCAGAUGUUAGUACAAAAAUUUUCAUGUUUCUUAAAAACAUGCAAUACAUAUGGAUAAUGACUAUUGAGGCAUCGUAGAGCUGCCUGAUAUUUAUAACUUUUAACUAAGUUUCCUAUUAAAACGAUUCUCAACUGCCUCAUCAAGCUGUAGGGUUCUGGUGAAAGAGGAUUAGGAUGACUGAUCCCCUCUAGUUCUUUGAAGAUACACAGGCUCGAUCCUACAUAGAAUCAGAAAUAAGUACAUUGGGUAGCUAUCUUAAGUUUCUAUUUUAUUUUAUCUUUUUUAUGCUUGAUAGGAACAGUUCCAACGUGCCUUUAUUUUGUACUAAGGGUUGACUUUUCUCAUUCAUCCUUGAAAUUAUUGAUAUUCAUGUUCUUCUAGUCAUGCUUUCAUUUGACAGAAAGAUUCAUCUGUUUUUAUGAACAAACUCUGUAGUUUUCCCCUUCUAUACGCUCAAAUUUCAAGCAUUACACGCGAAAGCAAGUGGAAGUACACUGCUAGCAUUCCCUGCUCUCUAGCUCCCUCUUGCAAUAUGUUACAGUUCUAACUCUACUUCUAUUUGUGUAAUCUUUAGCUACUAUUGCUACUUGUGUAAUUCUGUAGCAAGUGGUUAUGCUCCUGCUUUACUGUUGAGGUGUUCUCUUUUGACAGCCUUUUCUACAAUAUCAACACCAAUUCAGUUGAAGAUGUAACUGGAAGAGGUUAGUUUUUCUCCUCUUCUUCUGUGUUAGUAGUCAAUCUUGAUAACAUUUUUUAGGCCGAAGGUCCAGAUUUGCUCAUGACCUAGUUAAUCUUAUUUAAUUCAGGCAUCCAAGAUCUGAAGUCCGGGCGCAUUGUUACUCCUUUGUCACCAAAAGCUACUUUUCUGGAUGAUCCCCUUAGGGUUCUUCGAGCAAUUCGAUUUGGUAUUCUAGCAAGUUUCUUUAAAUUUUAAUUGCUUUAUUAGAAGUAGCUUUCAGCCAAUAUGCUAGCUACUUUUGUAAGUUAUUGAACUAUACUGGUAACUUUUUUGAGUUUUUUUAGUCACUUCAAUCUGAAAAGGUUGAUGAUAAAUAAUGUACAUUAAUUAUUGAUAAGGAGCAAAAAAAUUAGUUCAACGAUGUGCUUAAAAUAAAUAAUAUAUCUUUUUUUUCAUCAAAAAACUUAAAAUUAUCAUGAUACCUUUUUCUUUGUAAUAAUGAAUAUGCUGUUGUGUUUACAACAUAAUAUUGAUGUGCUUUUCAAAUUGAUGAUCUUAUUAAGAUGUAAAAAUAAUACCAUAUCUCAUAUGAUACAUUUGGUACAUGUCACAGUUCAACCCCUGUUAAAUUUUCAACCCCGAUCCUCUCUUUUCGUCUGUUCGAUGAGCUGUUUGGUUUUGUGUACAUUGAGUAGUUAUUGUCCAUCGUCAGGAUCGUCAGACUAUAAUUCUUUUGACAGGGGGAUGAUAGUGAGAUUGAAGUACUUAAAUUUGAUUAGUGCAAAAAGUUUUCACUGAUUUGAUUAUUCAUCCAUCUGUUUCUAAAAUAAAAGACUUCAUGUGUAAAUAGACUUUGUAUAAGACUAACCUGUAUACACAGUAAGUUCUGAUUCCACUCUUCAUGCUGUUAGGUGCUAGGUUUGAUUUUGAAUUGGCUGAAGAGUUGAAAGAAGCUGCUUUUGAUGAGGAAGUAAAAACUGCACUUGCAAAUAAGAUUAGCAGAGAGCGGAUUGGACAUGAGGCAUUUUCCUUUUCUGUUUUCUCUUCCCAUAUCAAAUUUUCUGUAGCACAUAAUUUUUUCCCCAGUAGAUAUAGAUUUAGAGAUUUAGCUAUAUGUAUCUUCUUCUUCUUUUUUUUUUUUUUUCUUAACUUGGUAGUGAAUGCUUCAUUUGGUAUUUAUGCACAGGUUGACCUGAUGGUGUCUGACAAGCAACCUGCUAAAGCAAUGGCAUACAUUCGUGAUUUGAAACUAUUUUAUGCAGUAUUUACUUUCCCAGAAAAUCUACAGCCUGCAGUUCUCGAGCAAUGUGACAGGUUUUAAUUUAACUUCUGUUACUUUUUAAGGCAUGCAAUGAAUGAAUAUUUCACUUGAUAUCAUCAGAAGCGGUUGAAGAAAAUUCAUUAGGUUAGCUCAUAGAUAGCUAUCUGUUCUUCUCCUUGUGGAGAGCAUGAUCAAUGCAUUUUUGAAAGCACAGCUAACAUUCCUUCUAUCUAAAUAUGUAUAGGCCUAGGCCUUGAAAUUUAAUAUUUGAUCUUUGUGAGAUUGCUCUGACAUGUUUCUUGUUCAUAUGGGCCUUGAAUUGAAAUGUUAAUGGUUGGAUACAUUUGAUGUAUGAGCUAAUAGCUUGUGCAAAAGGCUGAAAGCACAUGGUUUUCUCAAAGAAUUACAUAAUUAUUGCAUUCUUUCUUUGGAGUUAUCACAUUAUGCAGGUAUUGUGUAUUACAUAUAAAUGCAGCAUGGACCCUUCUACAAUCUAUUGGCUACUCGAUAUUUAGUGUAAGUCAUUUAUUAGCUGCCGAUAUCCCAAAAUUUUAUUUUCAUGUUCUAGAGCACAUAUUGUAGAAAUGACAUCAUUCUACAUUCUUAGAUACAAUCCAUGCAGCCUUAUUAUGAUUGCAUAUUAUGCUUUUCUUACACAUUUUUUUACUUGUUCUCAGGAUGAACAGCGUAGGCUUUACUUGUAUGCAUCUUUAUUUCUUCCUGUGAGAAGUACGAUAUGCAUUGACAAAAAGUCAAAAGAGGUAAUUUGUUUGUCUUGUUAUGUUAAUAUCAUUUUCCUUUUUGUAUGAGCGAAUUGCACUUAUUUUUUCUCUACUGAGAUGAAAAUGUUGUUCAUGUUUCAUGCUUUCCUCUUCAGCAUAAAAAUUAGUCUCUCUAUACCUUUAAAAAAGGCUAUGCCCUUUGUCUUAAAUAAUCCAUACAGUACUUCUGUUGGUAUUGUACAUAUAUCAACCACUGAAUGAGCUGGCAAUACAUUUGGUUUGUGAUGAGAAGAGAAGAUAAGUGGGAGUAGGGCUAGAGGGUGAAUGUUUUAACAUUAACAUAAGACAUGUUGUUUUGUGAUAACUUUGUUAUUUAUAGAUGGACUUCAGAGGUCAUCUUUGUUUGUCGAUGCUUGCUUUGUAUUUGAACACUUCUAUUUUUCUUUGUUCCACUAAAGAGUUGGGAAAAUUAAGUAGAUCUAUUUGCUAUAGUGAUGAUGAUUGGUUAUCUACACCAUUUUGAUUUUGGUAAUACCUGCUCGACCAGACCACAAUUAUAUUUUGUCCGUUAGUCAGACACUUGUUAUGAGACUUACGAGUCAUAAACUUUGCAGGUUCCUGUUGCGAGUUACAUCAUUCGUGAUUCUCUAAAACUGAAAGCUAGUGAUGCUGAAAUGGUAUGUCAACCCCUAAGAAAGCUUUGUGAAGUUUGCCAAGGGGAGGCUUCUUCUAUGCUCUUUACCCAAUUGUACUCCAUCGGUUCAUCAUCAAUUCUAAUCUUUUUUUUCCUUUCAUUUUGACGUGUCAUUGACUUGUAGGUAACAAACUUACACGUGGCAUGUGAGAAGUUUGUUGAUCUAAUUCCUUUUCUGGAGUCAAAUGAGGAUCCAGAAGAUCUUAAAGUAAACCUAGAAGAUGAAUACCUAGAGAUACCACCAGCUUCGACCAAACGAGUUUUGGCAGGUUGAGGGCGGUUUCUGUUGUUUAUUUGAAGUUUUUUGUGUUCUAUCUUAUUGGCCACUCCCAUACGAAAAUUUCUGACUUUAAGAAUUUGGCAAUAUUAAAUGAUCUACACACUACAAGUAGGACAAGUAUCUACUAUUGUUUCUCUAUGCUAAUUGAAUGCCAAUAUAACAUGAUAACGACUCACUCGCAUAGACUGAGCUUGCACACUUUCUUGACUAGUCAAGCAGAAACAAAUAUCCGAAAGCUUACCACGCUGAUUUGUUUGGCUUUUGUGCACUAUCAUAUAUAUAUAUUAUUGUCUUUUUAUGUUGCAUGUAAUUAUUUUAUGAAGCAAAAUAGUAAUGUGUGCGCUUCUGUUGGCAAUUCUUGUCGGAUAUGUCUGUUACCAUCCAUUUUUCAUGCUAUGGUUAUAUUAGGCUUGAUUCAAAUACUCACAAUGUUGAGAAUGGACUGAACAGGGUUGCUGCUUCGUCAAAUAAAAGACUUUUGGCGCGUUGCUUUGUUAAUUUCCACUCUACUACACCCUAAGGCAAGUCAUACCUGUGAUAGUCUCAACAGUCACACUGAACUGGACAGAAGAAAAAUAUUUGGAAAAUUUGAGAGCGCAAUAACUCAACUUGGUAAUUAAUUUUUCUGAUACUUUUUAUCUAUAAUCAUUUGUGAUGAUUAUUAUUAUUAUUUUUGUAAUUAUUUGUGCUGAGUUGCCAUUUGUGGUAUCUCAAAUCUUCCGAAACUUGCAUAUACUCAAUAGGUAUAUGAUAGUUUGUGGGAAACUAUUCGCUGUUUCUUUCUCUGCAUGUGCAGGGAGUUGAUUCCUUUUAUUUCUUUUGCUUCCUCUUUAAAUAAGUCACUAUUGUGUUCGCUCGCUACCAAUUAUUUCUUUGGUUGAUGUGUUCAGAUCUCGACCAUGUGUGGAAAAUGAAGUUAUUGCUUGACGGGAAGGCAAUGAUGGGAGUUCUGCAGCUUAAAUUGGGAGGGCCAUCAAUUGGGAAAUGGGUAAAACAAGUUCCUGUUAUGUUAGAAGCUGAUCUGAGCUUUUCUAUCUGCUUACAAUUAUUAAUGCUUGUUUGCAGCGACAAAGGCUGCUAAAGUGGCAGCUCGCCCAUCCGAACGGAACGAUGGAAGAGUGCAUUGAUUGGAUAAAGCAAUCUCAAGCGAAAUGCCAGAAAAUAGAUUGUUCCGCUUGAACAUGUUCCCCUUUGCGGCUUGUCUUCUGCCUAAUUCUAACUUGUCUUCGCCCUAAUUUAUCCAAUCAAAAUCCCCAGAAAUCUUGUGGAGUAAUUUACAAAAGCAUGACUUGAUUUGCGCAUCAACGAGUGGCAUGAAGCAUCAGUAUUUUUGCUGGAGAGCUAAGUUUACAGCUUGGAGAUUGUAACCAUCAUCCUCAUCUUGCGUGUUUUUUUUGUUUUUUUUUUUGUGGGGNAGUAGGUGUUCCACAACACAACCACUUUAAAUUCCUAGCUUCUCUACCACGCUUUACGUAGCUCAACUACUUACCUUCUACCAAACAAAAGUUGGAGAGUUGCGUUUACGUCUCAAAUUUUAACCAAAAUUUAAUUGAUCUGUGUUAGUUUACGUUCGUUGAGGUCCGGUGUCAAGUAUGGAUCAGAAAAUGGAUAAUUACUUACCCGGAGUGCCAUGGACUUGGUUUUUUUUAUUGUCCAAAUUGUCACGUUUGGACCAGUAUAUCUUCCUUUUAUAUGGGCUCAAAUAAUCGUCAAAUUUGAGAGUCUAAUCCUUAUCCUUUGACAACUAUUGAAGUUUUUAGUUCGAUAUUAAUCCUUAAUGUUCAUGACUCCGAAAGCGAUUAAGAAAAGUGAGUCUCUAGCCAAAUAAAAUAUAGACUGCCAAAAUUUCUUGUUUGUUUUCGUUACUCGUUUCCCGAUAAUAUAAUAUGACAACGGCUAGUUAGUUUUACCACUAGUGGUAUGGAUUAAUACAGUGUUCGACAAUUUUGUAUAAUGUGCGGAACAAGAAAGUUAAUAUGAAAAACAAGUUUUAGAUAUUUUUUCCGGUAGGAUAAUCGUCUUUCCCCUAGCAUAAUCGCCUUUCCCUGAGUCUAGUUCUUCCUCCAAAGUGGUGCGGGGUGAGGCGACGGGGGUUCUUAUCGACGAGUUAACCUUUAAGACACCUUUUAGUUUAACAAACGUAUAACCCACGUAUAUACAAAGAUCAUCACUUGAAACUUUAGAAUGUCAAACCAGUUGUAUAUCCAAACGCCCCUCCGUUUAAGUACGAUCACUUCUACUACCAAGCCAAUUGGUGCGAGAAUAAGCACUAAAGCUGCUCCUCCGUCGUUCCGAACUCGUUAAACCACGUCUUGAACUUCCGCUGACUACGUUUUAGAAUAGGGUGACAUUAAACCGUAAGAAAAUCUCGGUUCUCCCACUCCUAGGUGUUUGAUUAAACGAUUUGAAAAUGUUAAAAAUAACUGUGAAAUUGUAGCCGACCAUUACCCAUCGAUCAAAUCAACAGGAUCAACUGGUUUUACUCGUGAUUUAUGAGAGUACUCAAAGGAGGUUUACUCACCAAACUGAUAACUUUAACACUUGUAUAAAUCUAGGUUUGGUCAUGAUAGUUUCUUAGAUAGCUAUUCGUUCAAGAUUGCUCCUCGGCUUUUGGUUUGAGUAUAUUUUAAAUCUAUCUUACAUGAUCCCGAUACACUUGAGCUUCAACUUCUGGGGCUAUUUUAACGAGCUUAACUAAUAAAAAAUUUCACUGAGCCGGAUACGUAAAACAAAGUACCCGAAAUUUACGUUGCACACCACUUUGACCAGCUCAACUAAACGAUCUUGUACACUAAGCCACCGAAGACUAAACAUCGGUGAUCGUGGUUGAGAUACCAAGUUUCAUGAUGUGUUAAGUACUGAUACCAAAAUAAACCAAGAGUCGAGAGUGACUAACGUAUUUUGGCGGUCUUAAACGUUGUAAACCCACAUUCUGCUGUUAUUAAUUGUCGUUGGUGUCGUGAUAACUGGCCUACAUACUUUACGUAAAUAGAGAAAAAAAGAGAAAGAUGUAAAGGUGGAACGAAACAAAUCGUCAAAAAUGGGAAAAAAUUAACGAAGAUACACGAAGUAUCAUCCUUACUUAUUAGUGAAAGGACGAUGAACUCUGAGUUUACACUCCGAAACAGAGUAAAGAGAAAGUCUACCGCGCUUCCUUUACAGAGCAAAUUUAUGGAGUUUAGUUUAGGAAUGAGCUUUGGUUGGAUGCCUUCCACUACAGGCGUACAGGCGUACUUUUCUCGCUACGUCGUGUUUACGCCACUGUUUGUCUCUUUAGAAGCCGUGCAGUACAAAGAGAUGUUUUGAAACAAGAGUUUCGGUAGUCGAGAGUGGAACAGUUGUAUUCCUUUAAAUGUAGGAAGAACGUCGUUGCUUUGAUUCAUACCGAUUGUAACCUGCGUUCCCGAAUUAAUACAUAUUAAACAAACAUAAUACCAGGACCUAAUAAUUAGAUAAUUUAAAACUUUGAAACUGGAAUUAAACCUCUACCGAGCUUUGUCUACGCAUAAAGUAUAGAACAAGAAAAAAAGGAAUAACAAGUACACGACUAAGAAUAACUUUACCACAUGUUAUUUCCGGGAAAAACUUUUAAAACGUGGACUACAAGAGAAUAUUAUAACGGAAGAAAGUUACCACCAACCGUAUCAUAAACCCUCCUUAGACCAACCUUAAAACGACGAACAAAUCCCGGUGACUUACUUUUUGUAAUGCUGGGAUAAACAUGGAUAAACUUACAUACUUAUAAAAUAAGUCAUAUAGAGUAUCUAAACAACAUAUAUUAAUUUUUUCAUAUUAGGUUCCAGACUAAUCCCAUUCUCGCAAACCUGCAUGUUCAUUUAUAGGUAAAUCAGUACACUUCGAACAUCAGCAAAACAAGAAAAGGCUUCCUACUCUUACCACAACAAGUGUCAAACAAAGGCAAUCUGUAGCAAAAAGUAAAGAAGUUCGAUCCCUAAAAUUUAUAGCAAUAUCAAUUACUCUAAAAAACCAUACAAUAAUGGGCAGAUCAACUUAAUCAAAGACAACAUAAAUUGACACUGUAUAUAGGCAGAAAGUGGGAAAUCUCUAGUAAAGUCGCAUACAUGGGCAAGCUAAAGUCAAGCAGGAAAUGAAGUUUUCAUUACUUAAAAAUGAGUGACUUAAAUCUGAGACAGUUACAACGUCAUUUGAUAUUUUCUCUACUAGAACAAGAGAUGAACAAGUGCAAAGUAGCCAUUGAAAGGAUAUAAGAAACUAAAGAAUUCCUAAGGUCAAUCCAAAUACAGAAGCUUACAAAGGAACAGAUGUUGAACUUGAUAUAUACAACAACAACAAGAAUUAUUCAAGUUCAUUAACAAACUCAUAUUACUCCAAAUGCUUGUAUUCAUCAGCAGCAGAACGGAUCUCUCAAAUAAACAUACCAAGAAAAGAGGCAUGCAGAUAACUAUAUAUGUAAAACUUUUCUACUUCAACACACAACAAAAUGAGUAGUGCAAAAGUAUAAUGAAUUUCAUCACAUAAAUAUAAAAUUACUUUCAAAACAGUAUAUUCUAAACCAGCGUGCCACAAACCUAAUUAAAAAACAUUUAAAUGAAUUGUACUAACCUUUACAUUUUCAACCGGACCCAGCUUCAUGCAUUCCUCUCUAACAUCUGCAUCUAGCUCUGGAAGAAGACUUUCAUCACUCUGCAAAUACAAGAACAUCCCCACUCAUCAUUAGACCAUGGCACCAAAUUAUCUAAGCAUUUCAUUCAUGCAGAUAAACAUCAGAAACAAAUUGCCGCAAAAAUGUGCCCGGUAAUUUGGAUCAUAAAAGCAAACAGAGUAACAAGGCCCGUUUGAAACUGUUUACCCUCAAUUCAGCAGGAACGAACAUGUUCCUUAAAACAAUGGUGGUCGGAAUAGACACCUUCGCAUCAUCAUGCCCACCUAAUCAAAGAAAGAGAGUUAGGUUGGAUAGCACCUCUCAAGAGCACCAAAAAUUCACAAAAGAUAUAUCGACAUCAAUCAAAGAUAUGCAUACUGACAACAUGGACUAGGUAGGCCUUACUUCACUCAAAGAAAUGCAUGUACUUAGAUAUGUAAGACUGAUGAUUACCCCAUCCAAGAAUUUUAUCUUCAACUCUCUUUAUUUUCUUUUUCUUAUGCUUAUCAGCCUUCCUCGCUAUAAAUUUCUCACCUGUACACAAAGCAGAAAAUAAGUCUUUUUAUCCAAUAUUUAAACAUUCUCAGCAUUACGAUGGCAGGAAACUAUGCCAAUGUUAACCUUUUUGUUCAAAUUUAGCUUGGCUUACAGACAUGGGAAUCUUUCCACCAGGACGAAGUGGAGUGCCAUCCAAUAUUUGAAUUGCUAAAGCAACGGAAGGUUCCUGGAAUGGACAGGAAAAAGUUAUACACAAAUUUAAGUUGAUAUUCACGUAAUGUUUCAAUAGGAAGAGUACUACUUACCUUCAGAUAGGUGACAAGUGCAUCACCCUUCUUUCUACCUGUUUCUUUGUCUAUGUAUACCUUCACUCGAGGCUUCCUUGUUUCAGGGUCCUAAAGAUGUUAAGACGUAUGAGUGAAAAGGAUGCCCUCAUCUAUGAAGGAUGAACUUAACCAAAGGUAACUUUAUAUCACGCUUAAUCAAUUAUUCAGUACUCGAAACAACUAAAAAGUGCUAUCAACAUCAACGAGACAGCGAUGAAUCAAAGACAGAAACAGCUUAAAUCUUGCCCUAAAACCAACCGGAAUGUAAAAUAGGACAAACCACAAGACAAGUGUGAUACAGACACAUUUGUCUUGCAUGCAGAAAAUUAACGCUUAACAAGUGGAACUUGCUUUGAAUAAGCAAUCGGAGACUUUCAUCUUAAAAGAACUCCCCUCCCUCCCCCAACAAAAAAUGUUGACAAUCAACCUAUUGCGUUCAAAAGCUCUCAAGUCAAACAAAUUUGUUAAAAGAUAAUAAUUGUGCACUUGCAUGCAUUAGGCCAGGCAAAUAGCUAACAUAGUUUGCAAAAAUGCAAACAACACAUAUAUACAAAAGAAAAGAGAAUUAUGGCGGGAAAAAAAAUCUGAAGUGCAAAUAGAUAAAUAAUUUUUCUUACCUCCUUUAUAAUUCCACACUUAGAGAAUACUUCCACUACCUGCAAGAUAAAUUUGAGAUUAGAGCCACAACUAUGACACGCGAUGCAUGGAACUAAACAGGUGCAAGCACAUUUAAUUAUUUCUUGCUAGGCAGUUGCCAAGUAAUGUGCCAUGAAAUAACAAUUAUGUGAAGCAUGAAAUAAAAGUAGGAGACCUAAUACUUACUUCUUCGACAGUAACAUCAUCAGGCAACCCAGUCACAUAAACAUGAGUAUUGACCUUCAAAUCAAACCAGCUAUCUGGCGGGUUAUUAGCUUCCUGUCACAGUUUGAAUGGUUUAUUAGCUUCCUUUCGCAGUUUCAUUCAAAAACCAUCAUCAUCCUCCCAUAAAAAAUAUUCAAGCAUGUAUAAUAUCAGAAGUAGCAACUUGGUAAGUGUCAUUCCUUCUCUUGACUAGUAAUUAAAGACAAUGCCAGUGCUAAAAGACCAUGUACAGAGGGUAAAAGUGCAAAUAUCUGCUUCCUACUUGGCUCAAGUGUGCAAGGAAGGCCCUCUAAAGCAGAAUAAUAGUUUGUUCCAUUCUAUGCAAACUCGAAUGAAUAGGAAGCUAAAACAUGCCCUUACCUAAGAAUUAGAGAAACAAUAAUAAUAAUCAAAAGUAAAAAAGCAAGAAAAAGGUACCUUCUUUUCAGUUGGCUUCUCAGAUGAUUUCCGCUUCUUCUCCAAUUUUGUUUCAGCUUUUUCAUUCAAAACAUUGCUCUCCUCUGGCACAGAGGGAUCAGGAACCUCUGAAGUUGGAAAUACCUCCUCCUCAUGUGCAAAAGUCAUCUCUUCAAGUCCAUAUUCACCUCCCUUACUUGAAGGAUUAUCCUAUGGAAUAACAACGUUCAUGUAAUUUCCACCUUUUCAUGUGUUUUAAGAGAAAUAAUAUAUUGACACUGUAACACAACUGCAUAGAGUAGUGGUCUUAACUUGAAAGUGGAUUACAGGAGGAAGCAUAAGUACACAUGUAUUUCCAGCAAAUAAUUUUGCCCAAGAUUAAAGCAAAGAAAAAAAAUUCAUAGGAAGCUAAUAUCAUCUGGCAAAGUUCUAUGGCUAAACUGGAGAACUUCAAUAAUCUCACAAAGCAAAUUGUGGCAAAUAAGCAUUAAGGCAACUUACUUUGAGUUCAUACAUGUAUUUUGUUACACUGAUUUGGCACAACUGAGGGGGAAAAAAAAUCAGAUUACCUAAGAAUUAAGACCAGACUACAUGGAGUAAUGCUUACUUGAGGAACCCACGCCCUGACGCCACGAUCCCAUUUAUAAACAGUUCCGUCAUCAUCAGUAAAUUCUUCCUCACCAUCUGGUGGGGUCGCCGGUCUAUCAUUGAGACCCGCUUCUGUCCCUCCUCCCUCACCCUCAAUAUUUCCACCUUUCAGGGCCUCAGCCUCGGCCUCAGCCUCUAACACCUCUUUCUGCCAUUUCACAAAAUCAUCGUUGUUUUCUUCCGCAUCUACGAGAAAAAGACAAAAUGAGGAAGGGCUCCUUUUGUUUGUCGAAAUCAAGGUUUAAUUAGGUAAUAAUAACUUUGUUAACCUUCGGUAGGACGAUUAGCUGUUUGAGCUGAAAUCCCUAUAUAUAGCUCAGGAAUUGAGGAUAAUGGCAUCCAGCUACUUCUCCCUUCCGACCAGAGCAACGUGUUCUCAUUGAGGUACCCAUUUACAAAAUGCUCUAGCAAAGUAAAGAAAUCAUGGGCAAUAUGGUUAAGUAGCGAGCGAAUAUAAAUAUACAAACAAGGUAUAUCAUAAUAUCAAGCAACUCAAACUGUGGUGGUUGCUCAACAUACUAUCAUUCGCUUGAAGAAAACUCUAUCAUAUAACUUUCAAAAGAACAAGAGCCAAAUUAAUAUAAACUCUCAACUCCAUAUAUUAAUGCAGAAACAAUAAAUGUUACAUCAAGCAAUGUGAUUCAAAUAAAAAUUUCCUCUUUCUAACAGUAGCAAUACUUUCAAACUAGAUAUACACUGGAAUUUACAAAAGAAUUCAAAUCCUGCGGAUUAUCAAACCAAAAAUUUUACAUGAUUGAAUCAAAGCAAAUGCAAAUUACAACCAAGCAGUAAUAUUUACAUGAGACAAAGCAGAUGCGGUUCCCUAUUAACUCUAAUACGCCGCGAAAGCUACUCGCUUUAAAAAAAAAUAAAUUUAAGAAAAAAAGAGAAGUUCACCUUGCAACUCAGAGAAUGCGUAUGGACCAACAUGUUCUUGAUUCUCCCCAAGUAUAUACCAACCAACCUCAGAAGCCGCAGUAUAAUUCGCUUCCCUAUUCUCCUCCAUACUUGUUCACCUCAUCAUCGAACUAAAAUUGAACAAAUUUGAAACAGGUUAAAAAAAAAAAGACCACAAGCGGAAUAAAAACUAAAUGAUCAUCAGAAAUCAAGCAAAAAAACGCAUUUGUAUAGUGGGAAGUACCAAAUGGGCAGAAAAAAAAAAAGGGAAAUUCGAGAAAUAGGUCCACUAAAAUUGCUUUGUGUUCGAAUCUGAAUGGAGAAAUUUAGGGUUUUGGGAUAGAUUGGGUGGGGGAGAAUUGGGGUCCAACGAGAAACCCUAGGUGGGAGUAGUGCUCUUACCGACUAUGAUUCUACGAAGAUCACGGAAAUGUUCUGGAACGAGCGGGGACGAUGACGAGCUAAAACGCAUUGAGGGGCAGUUUGGUAAAUUUGAGGUAACAAUUGUAACGAGACCCCUCAAUGUAGGUCACAAUGUAGGUCAAGUUAGUUAAUUCUGAUUCGGCAAAAAUUCGAUAUGGGUAUAAUAUAAAUUGCAACAAUCCGACACGCUAGCAACGAUAACUCGUUGGGCCCAAACAACCGGACUAAAAUACUUAAGCCCAGUUAUUAUAACUAGCGUGUAGGCCUCAUAUAAAUUUAUCGGAAUCAGAGUUUAGACCCUGACGUCCUCGUCGGGUCCAAACCAGAUCACAAACAUACAGACAGACCAGAACCAGAAUUACCAGGCGAUAUGAGAUUCUAGAGUAUGCUUAAACUCAGUUAAUAUAACUAGCGUGUAAGCCUCAUAUAAACUAAUCGGAAUUAGAGUUUAAACCCUGACGUCCUUGUCGGGUCCAAACCAGAUCACACACAGACAGAAGACCAGGACGAGAAUUACUAGGCGAUGUGAGAUUCUAGAGGUGGCUCCCACCAAAUAUAACUAGUGUGUAGGCCUGAUCGGAAUCAGAGUACCAGAUCACAAACAGACAGAAGACCAGGAUCAGAAUUACCAAGCGAUGUGAGAUUUUAGAAGUGGAUCCUACGGGUUAUGUGAGAUUCUAGAGGUGGCUCCUACGAGUUCAAGAGGUGGUUCCCACCAAACCAGGAUCAGAAUUACCAAGCGAUGUGAGAUUCUAGAGGUGGAUCCUACGGGUUAUGUGAGAUUCUAGAGAUGGCUCCUACGAGUUCAAGAGGUGGUUCCCACCAAAUCCGUUGGUGUAGCACUUUAUCCCGCAUAGCACUUAGCUCUCACAUUUUCGCCUGGUAUUCGGUUUUGAUACCAAAUGUAACGACUCAAUCAGCUAGCAACAAUAACUUGUUGGACCCAAACCACGGGCCCAAAAUGCUUAAGCCAAGUUAUUAUUACUAGCAUGUAGCUCUCAUAUAUUCUAAUCAGAAUCAGUUUUCCCAUCCGAUGUGGGACUAUUGGGGCGUUACAUAAAUAAAAUUCGUAUUCUAAUUUUUAAAUUUAUUAAAAAAUACAGUUAAAAAACAAAUUCUCCAAUUAUUCGAAUAUGUGAUUUAUAUGGAUAUCAUACGUUCACCAAUUAAAAAUUCAGGAUAAAAAAUUCAGCUAUUAAAUAAGUUUUUUUUCCUUUAGAUUUAUGCUAUUAGCAUAAAUACUCAUAAUUCUUUAAGAAUAUAAAAAUAAAUUGAGAUAGGAUCUCCACCAAUAGCUGUGAAUGCUUCUGUUUGCACAUCUAGUGGUACUUUAUCAUAUGUUUCAAUAUCACGUCUUGAAACUUGAGAUACGUGGGAUUUGAGUCUUGCGCCACCACCCAAGUACACUUUAGAACAAUAUUUGCACUUAUAUUUUUCACUCAGUUCUUCCAUGUGAACCGAAAACCUAUCUUUCUUUUGAAUCAUUUUUCUGGACAAAAAAAGUUAACGACUCGAAUAUUUCAAGUUUUACCACAUAACUGCCAAUCAUGCAUCUUCAAAAGAAUAAAAUCACAUCCAAAGAACAUUAUAAUUACCCAUCAAUGAUGCAUCAAACAUAACCUAACUCUAAGUAAUUAACCCCACUCCAUUGGUUCUGAGUCUUCAGACAACAGUAAGCAAAUUAAUGAAUAUAACAAUAUAAUAAUAUCUGGACCCUCCAUAACCUGUCGGGGAUGAGAUUGCUCUCAGACGAGGAUGGCAGUGGGGAUGAUGGUUGAUGCAAGAUCGGUGUAUUAGGGACUAGGAGUGAGGAUGAUAGGAAUGAGAAAAAGAGAAGUUGAGAGGGAUAGAGGAGAUCAGAUUUGGGAGGUUUGAGAGGAGAGGAGAGAAGAGGAGAGGAGAAUUGGGAGGAAGAAAAAAAGCUCUAUUCAUUUUUCCAUGAUCCCAAAAUUGCAUUUGCCUGUUACUUAGUAACUCUAUUCUAUGUUGAAAACGAAAUUUAUUACAUUGGUGGACUAAACUGAAAAAAAAAAUAUAUAGAAAGAAAUAAUAUAGGCUUGGUGGGCCAAAACUAAUGGAGUCAUGGGCCUUCUAGGCUGUUGGAGAGCUUAGCACAUUUGGCUUAUAGCGGGUUUGGACCUGAUGCUCCAAUCAACCUAACCCAAUUGAAGGUUUGAGAUACUCCACUUCCAGCCUGGAGCUAAUAGAUCCUGUUGUGUCACACCUCGGGACCUAGCGUAGGCCCACCCGGUGCCUGCCCAGACCCGCCAUAUGCCUGCACAUAUAAGGCGUCUAGCCCAAAAGCGAAUAAAUGAACAAGAAGUGAAAAGUAUCUAGAGAUAUCAGAGCAAAUAUACAGCUAGGUUCUAUCAACAAGUAGAGUCAAAAGAGAACUAAACCACUAAAGUAUAAAGAAAACUAAUACAUCAUAAAUCUCAAGAUACAAAAGUAGGGUAGUCUCUAUAACCAGGUACAAAACUCUCACAACCUCUCCAAAAGAAAACAAAAGAGAGGUGGACCACCUAUCACCGAAUCCCUCGAUAGCUAGCUCGAGGUGAAACCUUUCCCGUGAUCCCGAGCCUCUCCCGGAGUGGAAGGCUCUGAAAGAAAAUAUAAAACAGGGGGCGUGAGAACUAUAAUUUAUAGUUCCCGGUGGGCAAUUACUGACAUGAGCAAAAUGCACCAUUAGGCCCAAAACAUAAGCAGAUAUGAAUAAUAAUAAUAACUGCGAAAAAGAAAGCAUAUAAUAAAUGCUACACUACUAUGCCACAAAUAUACAUGAUAUGAACAUGGAGUACACCUACUCUAUCAUGAUCUAAUAUGCCAAAACAUGUUUAGUAUGCUCGAUCACGGCGCCCAGGUAUACUAAAAUGCAAUAAGCAAUACUACUAAGUAUACUACAUGUCCAAGUGUCCAAUACAUAUCUAGUAUGCACUAUCAUAGCGACCAAGUAUACUAUAUGUCCCAAUGCCCAUUGAAUCCAACUACGAUUUAUUAUCAAGUAGUGAUUAUUACAUAACGACUCCGUGUCGAUUUUCAUUUCUAAUUAAGGACCUAUCCAAGGUAGUCCAGCUUGUGCCACCUAGCUGCCGGUGGUAGUACCAACAUUCCCCCUCGAGGAACGGGACUGUCCCACACGACCCUACAGGCGCCUCGCCGCCUAGCUGCCCGUGGUAGCACAUCAUCCCAAGCUAGAAUAAGGCUGUCCCACACGACCCUACAGGCGUCUCAAUCCCGCACGCGCGAACUGCGUCGCAAAAGGCCAACUCCGGAGUGCCGGCUUGUAGGGAGCGACCCUCACAAGCAUGUGCUAAUGAGCACAAAUGGCACGCAAGCGCGAAUGAGCACAAAUGGCAAGCAAGCAAAGUCAUCGUCUCAACGAUGCGGUCAUCAUGGCUCUACCAUGGAAAUGAUCGCUAGUAACUCAUAGGUCUAGUCCAAUAUCCCAAGUGAAGGUUUAACCAUUCAAUAUGUCCAAUGCCCCUUUAUGGCAUUAUAUCUCACUAUGCCAAAAUCUUGUCCCAACACUAAUGCCACUUUAUGACAUUAGGUUUACUAAGUCCACACAUAUUCCAAGCCUAAUGCCCCUUUAUGACAUUAGCUUGCUAAGUCCAUAUCUAGUCCAAGCCUAAUGCCCCUUUAUGACAUUAGCUUACUAUACCAACUUCAAGCACAAUGUCUCUUUAUGACAUUGGCUUACUGUAUCAACUCCAAGCCCAAUGUUUCUUUAUGACAUUGGUUUAUUAUAUCAAGCAUGAGUCUAAGUCCAAGAAUGCAAUGCACUUGUCAUUUUCACUAUAUGAAAUAUGAUCCAAAUUCACACAUAGGAGUGCUAACCAUAGGCUCAAGCCCAACAUGCAAACUCUCUACUACGUUGUAACACACUGGACCUUUGCAAAUUGCGAGGUUCGAGUGUUUGAUGAGUACCCCGAACUUUUCCACACUUGGUGGAAGGCCGUAGAUGGUAUUCCGGCCUAAAAGUUCGAUCUCUAGAGUUUUGGCUUUGUCCUGAGAGUUUUCACUCUCGGGGACCGAUCCCUGAUAUGAGAGACCGGUCCCCUCAGAGCAGUGCUGCGGCAGGACUUGAGGCAACCGGUCCCUGGCUGGGAGAGACCGGUUCCCGAGCGCGUGUUUUGCAAGAAGGGUCUGAGAGACCGAUCCCUGGCGGGGAGAGACCGGUUCCCGAACGUUGGUUUUUCGGGUUCGACACGAGAGACCGGUCCCAUGCAGGGAGAGACCGGUCCCUCCGCGCGAAAACAGCCCAGACCGGGCAGUGCACAGAGUGGAUUUUUGAGGGACCUAAGUGGAUUUUGUUACUUUUGAAGGCUUAUAGAGCCUCUUCUCUCUCUCCCAUCCUCAUUUCCUCUCCCUCACACCCACUUUAGAGAGAGAAAGAGAAGGAGGAGAAGAAGGAGUUGGAGGAGAAGGAGAGAAUCUUGCUUGGAGGCCUUGGAGCAUCAUCUUCUUCCUCAUUUCUCACAUUGGUUGCUUGGAGCUUGCGGUUGGAGCUUUGUGGGGGAUCAAACUUCAACCCUACUUGGUUUAUAGCUUGGAUUGAAGCCUCUCUUGAUGUUGGUUGCUUGUAUUCCCUAUUUAAUACAAGUUUUUCUAGAUUUUAACUAGAUAAAACCCUAGAUUUUGGGAUUUAGGGUUUGUUUUGGGGAUUUUUGAUUUGAGGGCUUUGAAACCUAAUUGAUGGGUUUAGAACCUUUAUUUAGGUUGUAUUUGAAGAACUCUAACUCCCAUUUGGAGCUUGAGAGAGGAUUUCUUCACUUAGGUGAGUUUUUUCUCCACCUUAGCCUAUGUUGCUU